UUUCCACUCUACACAAUGUUAUUUCAAGAAAAAUGAAUCCAUUUUCAGAUAUUUGUCAUAUUUAUGAACUUCAAAUUGCUCAUUGUUUGAAGUAUUCGACAGUCUGUACACAGUCAGGGCAAGAUUGGACAGAGGAUGAUAAGGGUAAGAAGAUGCAACAGACACCAGAUUAGUGGACGACUAUGGGAUGACCUCAUAAUUCAGAAGGGAGUCAAAGUAAUACAUGAUAAGACAUCCUUAAAUUCAGCAUUCAAGGUUGUAACAAUAUCCUGAUACUACAGAUAUGAUGACAGCAGAGCACAGUGUCUGUACCAAGUGGAACCAAACUUGUAGGCAAGUAAACCUGACAGCAUACCAAUAUGUAAAUAAGAAGCAAAAGGGCAAGGAAAACAUGGCUCACACAAAGGACCGAGAAUUAGUGGCAUAAAUUACCAAAAGCAACCGGUUGUCCUAUAGUUCAAAUCAAAUUCUAAAGCGGAGGCUGAAUAUGGUAGAGACCCGUCAUCCUUUUAUUUUAAAACUUGUAGCGCCAGGAAUUACUCACGGACAUUGUACACUGCAACAAUUUAGUGUUUGCUUGUACAUCACCGAAUAUGGUACACUGUACACUGAAUAUGGUACCGUAAGUAAAAUCCAAUGUGUGUAAACUAAUCUGAGAAGUGAAACUUUAAUUCAACAAACAUGGCAAUCACUAAUUCCGAUAAGAAGACAUGCUUUAUUAUAUCCAAAGCCCCUAUAUCUGGGGAUGUUUUUGCUUCGACGUUUUGCCAUUUGUAUGAAAAUGACUCUUUGGUAAACUGGUGUAGGGCACGUGUAAUAAAUUGGGAAAUGACUGUGUAAAGUCAUGUGGUGUCUCUAAGUUUGCUUUCAAAAUUUUCUGAACGUGCUUGGUUAUUUGAUUGGUUCGCCUAGCAUUUUGCGUCGUAUGUGGGCCAGCAAAGAUGUUUGACUUCCCAACCUAGGAUUUUACCUGUGGAUCGGUGCUUCCAUCAGUUUUCACUGGAUUCCGGUCUGUGCACAUGUCCUGAGUUGCCUAAUUGGUGUUUAACUGUUACUCAAAAAAUAAUUGGUGUUUAACUGAGCGGUACCGUCUUACUUUUAUGGACAGGGGUGCCGCUUCGACCGCUCUGUCUAGACGCUGCUUUGCCUCUUCUGUUAUCUAUUCGAGAGCCUGCCAUCCUUGUUUAACGGUGCCACUGUUGUCGCGUCUUCCGGAAUUGUCGCCGCUUAUUGCUGGUGCGGGCUGUACAUUUACGUACCAUGCUACGGUGCAGGCUAUAAAUAGGCUGCCUUUUUUGCCAUAUUAUUGCGUUGGGUUUUCUCUGGUGUCUUAUCGCUUUCUGCUCCGGUGCUCCCCCGUGGGCUGAACACGAGUGAGAAAAACACAAGGACAGUCCAGAUGCGUCGAUGGCAGUUCGUAACAAGGGGCACGAUGGUCAUUUCAGGUGCGUGUAGAGCGCGCGCAGACCAGUCGUAGAGCCUCGUAUGAGCCCGCGCCGGCCCGUGUAUUAUUGUACGCCGGGCGUGUACGUGUAUUAUACGCUGGUGGUUGCAUUUCCCCGCGGUCGUGCGCGUGCACGUGUGCAUGGAUAGUUUCCAAAAAAAGGCCCCUAGUAUAAGAGGAGGGGAACGGGCACCGACUGCAUCGCCCACCCCAUUUCCCCCAAAUCGCCUCCCUCUCCCUUCUCUCCGCUCUACCUCAUCGUCUCCCUCACCGGCAACCCCACCUGCUCGCUCACCACCGCCGCCUCCCUCUCUUCCCAUGCUUGCUUCUGGCUUGGAUGGAGCAAGGCCGCGGCGAAGCCGCCGUCGCGGACGGAGAUCUGCAGAAGACGGGAGCGGAGACCGUGGCAGAUGCCGUGCAGGCCCUCGUCGGUAGCACGGGUGCAGGAGGUGCUCCAUCCCCACGCGCUGGACCGGUCGCUGCGGCGGCGGAUCUGGAUGAGAAGAAGGUGGCCAUGGCGGACUCAGCCGUGGCGGACUCAGCCGUGCCGGAGCUUGGCGUGACAGCGUCGAGCGGCCCAUCUGAUGGACCUGCGGAGGCUGGCGGCGAGCACGUGGACCUGCAGGUAAUCCUGGCCAGCAGUCCCCUCCGUUGCUAGUUACCCCCGUUAAGUAGUAGAUUUAGGUGUUAGGGUUUUUUGUUGUUGCUAGUUGCUGCAUCCCCUUCUGAUAGUUAGGGUUUUUAGAUGUUUGAUUGAUUUAUAGUGAAGGUUAAGUUUGGAUUCUGUGAUUGAAUCAUCCAGUAGAUCAAGUAGUUAGGUUUUUUUAAUGAGAUGUUAAGUUGGGGAUUUGUUGUAUUGGAUUUAAUUAAAGCCACUGAUAUGUUGUAUCUGUGAUUGAAUCACAUCCCGUAGAUGUAGUAGUUAGGGUUUCUUAAUUAGAUGUUUAGUUAGGGUUUUUUUUGUAUUGGAUUCAUUUAUAGCCUAUGAUAUGUAGAAUGUGUGAUUGAAUCACAUCCAGUAGGUGUAGUAGUUAGGGUUUUUUUAAUUAGAUGUUUAGUUGGGGAUUUUUCGUAUUGGCUUCAAUUAAAGCCACCGAUAUGUUGUAUCUGUGAUUGAAUCACAUCACGUAGAUUUAGUAGUUAGGGUUUCUUAAUUAGAUGUUUAGUUAGGGUUUUUUUUUGUAUUGGAUUCAUUUAUAGCCUCUGAUAUGUAGAAUGUGUGAUUAGAUGUAGUAGUUAGGGUUUUUUAAUUAGAUGUUUAGUUGGGGAUUUUUUGUAUUGGAUUCAAUUAGAGCUACUGAUAAGUAGAAUUUGUAAUUGAAUCACAUCCCGUAGAUGUGGUAGUUAUGGUUUUUAAUUAGUUAAUUAGUUAAGGUUUAUUUGUAUUGGAUUCAUUUAUAGACAUUUAUAUAUAGAAUCUGUGUUUGAAUCAUCCAGUAGAUGCAGUAGUUAGGGUUUUUAAUUAGAUGUUUAGUUAGGGUUUUCUUGUAUUGGAUUCAUUUAUAGCCAGUUAUAUGUAGGACCUAUGAUUGAAUCAUCCAGUAGAUGUAGUAGUUAUGGUUUUUAAAUUAGUUGAUUAGUUAAGGUUUAUUUGUAUUAUUCAUUUAUACAGUUAUAUAGAUUCUGUGAUUGAAUGAUGUAGUAGAUGUACUAGUUAGUGUUUCUUAAGUAGAUGUUUAGUUAGGUUUCUUUUGUAUUGGAUUCAUUUAUAGGCAGAGAUAAAUGUAAUUAAAUGGUGUGACUGAAUGAUGCAGUAGAAGUAAGAGUUAUGAUAUUUUAAUUAGAUGUAUGAGUUAGUGUUAUUUGUAGUAGAUUCAUUUAUAUCCAAUGAUAUAUGUAAGUAAACUUUGUGAUUCAGUGUUCCAGUGGAUCUAGGAGUUAGUGUUUUUUAAUUAGAUGCUGGAGUUAGGGUAUUUUAAUUAGAUGUAGGAGUUAGGCUUCACCAUUUCACUUAUUCUGACAUACGAGUGCUCAUUGAGAACUGCUCUGAACUAAAUAUUUACAAAUGAAAUGAAAACCUGACAUGUUUGUGAAGUUAUAUAUAAAGGUCCUAUUUGCAUUGUCUGUCAAAACCUGCUAUUUCAUUGGUUAAUAAGAGAGGAAUGGUAUUCAUUUAUACCUUCAUAUGCAUGUUCAAAAGCAAAAUCUGAAUUUGUAUGUCCAUAUGAAUGAACUUGUAUGUUCAUAACCCUAUUGUUUAGUAUCUAUAUAGCUUCAUAUAUAGUCUAUGAAUUAGUUGUUGAAAUGUACAUACCAUGUGUAACUUGUGCACCUUUUCAAUAUAGUUAGGAGCUUUCCAUCAUUAUGCAAAAUCAACUUGUUUGUAAUGGCAUUAUUUGAACCACCAUUCAAUUCCUUUUAAAUGACUUGCUUGGUUGACAAUAUAGCAGAAGGAGGAUCUUGUUGGCAACAAGAGGAAGUGGGACGCAACUGGGUACUACCCUUAUGAUAGUGAUGAAGAUGAGCCGUACGAGGUAAGGCCUAGAUGAAAUGUUAUUUGUGCAUUGAGUUAGUGUUAGAUGUUUAUAGUAUUUGAAUGCAUAAUGUAUUAAUGUCAGUCAUUAAUGUGUGCAGUAUCAAUUUGGAGAUGAUGUGAUCGAGGGGAACGUCGAGUCCUUUGAAGAGAAGGAGGUGUUGAAGAUCAGGGGUCAAGGAUCUGCUAUGUACUACAACUGGAGGACGGACAAGUACCGCUGCCCCUACUGCAGUAGGCCCAAGCCCAGGUCUGGGAUGCUGGAGCAUCUGAUGGAACAUUGUCGGGCUACAUCCAUCAGCAGUCAUGAGUACAAGAUCAGGUCUCAGCAUUCCGCCCUCCACAAGGUCCUGAGAAACCCUAACAUGUAGUUGCCCUAGACCCUGGUUGUCGUUUGAUGGAGGAAGCCUCAGUUCUUUUGGUGAACUUUAUGUGGUAGUCUGAUGGUGGAAACUUUUAGUGGUAAUGUAGUAUGAACUUUUAUCUAAGUGUAGUACUGUAAUGUGUGGUCUAAACUUAUCUAAUAUGCUAGUGGUCUGAACUUGGAGGUGUCUACAUCAGCAAGUGUGCUGUGUGGAUGCUGCUAUCUAUGGUAGUAAUAUAUAUUGCUAUCUAUAUGUGUGUCCCUUAAAUUUGCCAUUAUGGUUCCUUAGAUGUAUGAUUUGCUUGAAUUUACCUUUUGCAUUGAUCAGACAUGCCGCAUCCGUGUUGCUUCACUGAUCAGGCAUGCUGCAAAUACUUCCCAUGUUGUGGCCUUGUGGAACUUGUUGUGUCAAUGGUGCAAUAAAUUCCCAUGUUGUGGCCAUGUGCAACAUGCUCUGCCGAUAAGCAAAUCGGACCAAAUGUAAAACUUUGCGUUAAGUUAAUUAAUGUUGUUUAGUAAACUAAGUGGAAAUUGUUCAUCGACACAUAUGACAUCUUUCCAUAAUUUGAGUAAGCAAAAAUAGCAAAUACCCCACCAUAUGAUCAAAUAUUCCAAUAACUGAUCACAUAUUCCAUCAUUUCAUCAAAUAAUAAUAAAAAAGUAGUUAAAGAUGGUGUGUGUGUGUGUGUGUGUGCAAAAAACAACAUUUGAAUAAAGAUGUAAUGAUUUUGUAAUAUGAAGGAGUUUUUUCAUGAAAUGCAAGUUGAUUAUUUGUAAUAUGAAAGAUCUCCUUUUGUACAAUUUAUAGUGGCUCCAUGAAGCCGGAUGUUUCGAACCGGCAUUGGGCAGGGCAUAAAAAAUUAAGUAAAAAUUCAAAAAUUGUGACCCAUAUUUUCUUGUACAUGGUGACCUACAUGUGCCAAACAUGGCUAUGAAAGAAAGUUUGGAAACAUAAUAUUUUACAAUGCCCGCUUGAGGUAUAGACCGAUGUUUUGACCAGUCAGUCUAGAUGGCAUUAUAAAUUAAUAAAAAAUUCAAAAAACUAUAAAACCUUGCAAACCUAGCUUUGUUUGUGCAAGAGAUCAUGUGUGCCAAAUUUGAGGUGAUUUGAAGGUGGUGGAAAAAAUCAUCGCAUUUCGGAGGGGCCAUUUGGUGUAACAUAAGCCAGUUUUUGCACAAAUGUGAUUUUUCCCACCACCUCAAAAUCACCCAAAUUUUCUUGCACAUGGUGACCCACAUGUGCCAAUCAUGCCUAUGAAAGAAAAUUUGGAAAAAGAAUAUUUUACAACGCCCCCUAGGUAUAGACCGAUUUUUUGACCAGCUGGUUGAUGACCCACAAGUAUAGUGGAUCUAUCGUAGUCCUUUCGAUAAGUAAGAGUGUCGAACCAGGAGGAGAACGAAAUUAUAAGCGGUUUCCAGCAAGGUAUUCUCUGCAAGUACUGAAAUAAGUGGUAACAGAUAGUUUUGUGAUAGGAUAAGUUGUAACGAGCAACAAGUAACAAAAGUAAAUAAAGUGCAGCAAGGUGGCCCAAUCCUUUUUGUAGCAAAGGACAAGCCUGGAAAAACUCUUAUAUAAGGGAAAGUGCUCCCGAGGACACAUGGGAAUAUCGUCAAGCUAGAUUUCAUCACGUUCAUAUGAUUCGCGUUCGGUACUUUGAUAAUUUGAUAUGUGGGUGGACCAGUGCUUGGGUGUUGUUCUUACUUGAACAAGCAUCCCACUUAUGAUUAACCUCUAUUGCAAGCAUCCACAACUACAACAAAAGUAUUAAGGUAAACCUAACCAUAGCAUGAAACAUAUGGAUCCAAAUCAGCCCCUUACGAAGCAACGCAUAAACUAGGGUUUAAGCUUCUGUCACUCUAGCAACCCAUCAUAUACUUAUUACUUCCCAAUGCCUUCCUCUAGGCCCAAAUAAUGGUGAAGUGUUAUGUAGUCGAUGUUCACAUAACACCACUAGAGGCUAGACAACAUACAUCUCAUCAAAAUAUCAAACGAAUACCAAAUUCACAUGACUACUAUUAGCAAGACUUCUCCCUUGUCCUCAGGAACAAACGUAACUACUCACAAAGCAUAAACUUGUUCAUAAUCAGAGGGGUAUUAAUAUGCAUAUAGGAUCUGAACAUAUGAUCUUCCACCAAUCAAACCAACUAGCAUCAACUACAAGGAGUAAUCAACACUACUAGCAACCUACUAGCACCAAUCCCGGACUUGGAGACAAGAAUUGGAUACAAGAGAUGAACUAGGGUUUGGUAUGAGAUGGUGCUGGUGAAGAUGUUGAUGGAGAUUGCCCUCUCCUGAUGAGAGGAGCGUUGGUGAUGACGAUGGCGAUGAUUUCCCCCUCCGGGAGGGAAGUUUCCCCGGCAAAACAGCUCUACCGGAGCUCUAGAUUGGAUCCGCCAAGGUUUCGCCUCGUGGCGGCAGAGUUUCGUCCCGAAAGGUUGCCUCUUUAUUUUUUUUCUCGACGAAAGACUUCAUAUAGGAGAAGAUGAUCAUCGGAGAGCCACCAAGGGGCCCACGAGGUAAGGGGGCACGCCCUAGGGGGGGGGGGCUCCCCCACCCUCGUGAGCAGGGUGUGGGCCCCCUGGUCUUCAUCUUUGGCGAGGAUUUUUCAUUAUUUAUUAUAAGGUGUUCCGUGGAGUUUCAGGACUUUUGGAGUUGUGCAGAAUAUGUCUCUAAUAUUUGCUCCUUUUCCAGCCCAGAAUUCCAGAUGCCGGCAUUCUCCCUCCUUAUGUAAACCUUGUAAAAUAAGAGAGAAUAGCCAUAAGUGUUGUGACAUAAUGUGAAAUAACAGCCCAUAAUGCAAUAAAUAUCGAUAUAAAAGCAUGAUGCAAAAUGGACGUAUCAACUCCCCCAAGCUUAGACCUCGUUUGUCCUCAAGCGAAAGCCGAUAACAAUAAAUAUGUCCCCAUGUUUAGAGGUAGAGGCAUCGAUAAAAAUAAAAUACGGACAUGAAGGAAUCAUGAUUAUUCUCUUAACAGCAACAUAUAUAGAUAUUAUCACAUGAUUACUUAUGUUCAAGUGAUGAUCUAUUCACAAUAAAUUAGUCAGAGGCCGAGAAAUUUUUGAGAAGUCCUUAACGAACCUCCUAUAAAAUCCGGCGUGACCAAGGAAACUUCUUAUACCUUUAAUGUCCUUGGGACAUGGCAUCUUUUCAAUAGCAUCAACCUUGGCUUUAUCAACUUCAAUACCUCUUUCAGAAACUUUAUGCCCCAAGACAAUACCUUCAUUAACCAUAAAGUGGCACUUUUCCCAAUUAAAGACAAGUUUAGUUUCUUCACAUCUCUGCAAAACUCGAUCAAGAUUGCUCAAGCAAUCAUCAAAAGAAGAUCCAUAGACGGAAAAGUCGUCCAUGAAAACCUCACAAAUUUUUUCACAAAAGUCAGAGAAUAUAGCCAUCAUGCAUCUUUGAAAGGUAGCAGGUCCAUUACAUAAACCAAAGGGCAUACGUCUAUAAGCAAAAGUACCAAAAGGGCAUGUAAAAGUAGUCUUUGAUUGAUCUUUAGCUGACACAGGUAUUUGAGAAAAACCAGAAUAACCAUCUAGAAAGCAAUAAUCUGUAUGUUUGCAUAAUCUUUCUAGCAUUUGAUCGAUAAAAGGUAAGGGGUGAUGAUAUUUUCUAGUAGCCUUAUUUAAUUUGCGGAAAUCAAUUACCAUCCUAUAACCUGUAAUAAUUCUUUGUGGAAUCAAUUCAUCUUUAUCAUUAGGAACAACAGUUAUACCUCCCUUCUUAGGGACACAAUGAACAGGGCUUACCCACUGACUAUCAGCAAUGAGAUAAAUUAUACCUGCCUCCAGAAGCUUUAGUAUUUCUAUUCUUACCACUUCUUUCAUUUUAGGAUUCAGACAUCGCUGAGGAUCACGAACUGGUUUGGCAUCCGCUUCCAAAUUUAUUUUAUGUUGACACAGAGUGGGACUAAUGCCCUUAAGAUCAUCAAGAGUAUAUCCAAUAGCAGCACGGUGCUUCUUCAGAGUUUUCAAUAAUCUUUCUUCUUCAUGCUCUGAAAGGUUAGCACUAAUAAUAACAGGAUAUAUCUUCUUUUCAUCAAGAUAAGCAUAUUUAAGAUUACCAGGCAACGGUUUAACCUCAAACACGGGAUCACCCUUAGGUGGAGGGGGAUCCCCUAAGAUUUCAACAGGCAAAUUGUGUUUCAGAAUAGGUUCCUGUUUAAAGAAUACUUCAUCUAUUUCCCUUCUUUCAUUCAUAAACAUAUCAUUCUCAUGGUCUAGUAAAUAAUGUUCUAAAGGAUUACUAGGGGUACGUCAAGAGAAGCAAGACCAAUAAUUUCAUCCUUACUGGCAAUUCUUCUUCACGGUGUUUUUUACUAAAUUUAGAGAAGUUAAAUUCAUGAGUCAUAUCAUCUAACCCGACAGUAACAACAUUCCUUGUGCAAUCUAUGGUAGCAUUAACAGUAUUCAAGAAGGGUCUACCGAAUAUAAUGGGACAAAAGCUAUCUUGUGGGGAAUCAAGAACAAGAAAAUUAGCAGGAUAUUUAGUUUUCCCACACAAGACUUCAACAUCUCUAACAAUUCCCAUUGGUGAUAUAGUAUCUCUAUUAGCAAGUUUAAUAGUGACAUCAAUUUCUUCUAACUCAACGGGUGCAAUGUCAUGCAUAAUUUCUUAUUAUAAGGAAUGAGGUAUUGCACUAGCACUAGCACCCAUAUCACAUAAGCCAUGAUAACAAUGAUCCCCUAUUUUAACAGAAAUAACAGGCAUGCCUACCACAGGUCUAGGUUUAUUUGUAUCACGGGGUUUAGCAAUUCUAGCAGUUUCAUUACAGAAGUAAAUAACAUGCCCAUCUAUAUUAUCAGACAAAAGUUCUUUGACAAUAGCAAUAUUAGGUUCAACUUUAACUUGCUCAGGAGGUGUGUAUAUUUUAAUAUUGCUUUUACGAACCACAGUUAAAGCUUUAGCAUGAUCCUUUAUUCUAACAGGGAAAGGUGGUUUCUUAGCAUAAGAAGUAGGAACAAUAGGAUCAUUAUAAGUGAUAGUCUUUUCUUCAACUUUAAUAGGUGCAGCUACUUUUACUUCUAUGGGAGGAUGAUAUUUAAACCACUUAUCCUUGGGGAGAUCAACAUAAGUAGCAAAAGAUUCACAGAAAGAGGCUACUAUCUCAGGAUCAAGUCCAUAUUUAGUGCUAAACUUACGGAAAAUAUCGGUAUCCAUAAAAGAUUUAACACAAUCAAACUUAGGUGUCAUACCUGACUCCUUACGAUUGUCGAGGUCCCAAUCUUCAGAGUUGCAUUUAAUUAUUUCCAAUAAAUCCCAUUUGAAUUCAAUUGUCUUCAUCAUAAAAGAGUCAGCACAAGAAGUAUCAAGCAUGGUGUGAUUGCUAUCAGAAAGCCGAGCAUAAAAUUUUUGAAUAAUCAUUUCUCUUGAGAGCUCAUGAUUGGGGCAUGAAUAUAACAUUGAUUUAAGCCUCCCCCAAUCUUGAGCGAUGCUUUCUCCUUCGCGAGGCCAAAAAUUAUAUAUAUAAUUGCGAUCACGAUGAACAAGAUGCAUAGGAUAAAACUUUUGAUAAAAUUCCAAUUUCAAUCGUUUGUAGUCCCAAGACUCCAUAUCAUCACAUAGCCUAUACCAUGUCGAUGCAUCUCCCUUCAAAGAUAAAGGGAAGACCUUCUUCUAAACAACAUCUCCGGGUACACCUGCAAGCUUAAAUAAUCCACAAACUUCAUCCACACAUAUUAGAUGCUCAUCAGGAUGUUUUGAUCCAUCUCCUAAAAAAUGAUUAGCUAGCAGUUUUUCUACCAUACCCAAAGGAAUUUCAAAGCAAGCAUUUUCAUUUUCAGUAGGUUGAGGAGCAACUCUUUGCUCUACUGGUCGGGGUGAAGAUACCCCAAACAAGCCCCUCAGAGGAUUACUUUCCAUAGUAACAAGUGACAGUAAAUUUCACCACACUAUAUAAAUUUUUCCUUACCAAAUUCCACCUACCAAAGGCGCUUCACCCCCCGGCAACGGCGCCAGAAAAGAGUCUUGAUGACCCACAAGUAUAGGGGAUCUAUCGUAGUCCUUUUGAUAAGUAAGAGUGUCGAACCCAACGAGGAGCAGAAGGAAAUGAUAAGAGGUUUCCAGCAAGGUAUUCUCUACAAGUACUGAAAUAAGUGGUAAUAGAUAGUUUUGCGAUAGGAUAAGUUGUAACGAGCAACAAGUAACAAAAGUAAAUAAAGUGCAGCAAGGUGGACCAAUCCUUUUUGUAGAAAAUGGCAAGCCUGGACAAACUCUUAUAUAAGGAAAAGCGCUCCCGAGGACACAUGGGAAUAUCGUCAAGCUAGAUUUCAUCACGUUCAUAUGAUUCGCGUUCGGUACUUUGAUAAUUUGAUAUGUAGGUGGACCAGUGGUUGGGUGCUGUUCUUACUUGAACAAGCAUCCCAAUUACGAUUAACCUCUAUUGCAAGCAUCUGCAACUACAACAAAAGUAUUAAGGUAAACCUAACCAUAGCAUGAAACAUAUGGAUCCAAAUCAGCCCCUUACGAAGCAACGCAUAAAAUAGGGUUUAAGCUUCUGUCACUCUAGCAACCCAUCAUCUACUUAUUACUUCCCAAUGCCUUCCUCCAGGCCCAAAUAAUGGUGAAGUGUUAUGUAGUGAACGUUCACAUAACACCACUAGAGGCUAGACAACAUACAUCUCAUCAAAAUAUCGAAUGAAUACCAAAUUCACAUGACUACUAUUAGCAAGACUUCUCCCUUGUCCUCAGGAACAAACGCAACUACUCAAAAAGCAUAAACAUGUUCAUAAUCAAAGGGCUAUUAAUAUGCAUAUAGGAUCUGAACAUAUGAUCUUCCACCAAUUAAACCAACUAGCAUCAACUACGAGGAGUAAUCAACACUACUAGCAACCUACUAGCACCAAUCCCGGACUUGGAGACAAGAAUUGGAUACAAGAGAUGAACUAGGGUUUGGAGAUGAGAUGGUGCUGGUGAAGAUGUUGAUGGAGAUUGCCCUCUCCCGAUAAGAGGAGCGUUGGUGAUGACGAUGGCGAUGAUUUCCCCCUCCGGGAGGGAAGUUUCCCCGGCAAAACAGCUCUGCCGGAGCUCUAGAUUGGAUCCACCAAGGUUCCGCCUCGUGGCGGCAGAGUUUCGUCCCGAAAGGUUGCCUCUUUAUUUUUUCUCGAUGAAAGACUUCAUAUAAGAGAAGAUGGUCAUCGGAGAGCCACCAGGGGGCCCACGAGGUAGGGGGGCGCGCCCCCCACCCUCGUGAGCAGGGUGUGGGCCCCCUGGUCUUCAUCUUUGGCGAGGAUUUUUCAAUAUUUAUUAUAAGGUGUUCCGUGGAGUUUCAGGACUUUUGGAGUUGUGCAGAAUAGGUCUCUAAUAUUUGCUCCUUUUCCAGCCCAGAAUGCCAGCUGCCGGCAUUCUCCCUCCUUAUGUAAAUCUUGUAAAAUAAGAGAGAAUAGCCAUAAGUAUUGUGACAUAAUGUGAAAUAACAACCCAUAAUGCAAUAAAUAUCGAUAUAAAAGCAUGAUGCAAAAUGGAUGUAUCAUCAGUCUAGAGGGAAUUAUAAACAAACAAAAAAAUAAAAAAAAUAAAACCUUGGAAACCUAGCUUUGUUUGUGCAAGAGAUCAUGUGUGCCAAAAUUGAGCCAAUUUGGAGAUGGUCGAAAAAAUGACCGCAUUCAGGAGGGGCCAUUUGGUCUAAUUUAAACCAGUUUUUGAACAAAUGUGAUUUUCCCACCAGCUCUAAAUCACCCAAAUUUUCUCACACAUGGCGACCCACAUGUUCCAAACAUGCCUAUGAAAGAAAAUUUGGAAAAAGAAUAUUUUACAAUGCCCCCCUGAGGUAUAGACCAAUUUUUGACCAGUCAGUCUAGAGGGCAUUAUAAAUUAAUAAAAAAUUCAAAAAAAUAUAAAACCUUGGAAACCUAGCUUUGUUUGUGCAAGAGAUCAUGUGUGCCAAAAUUGAGGUGAUUUGGAGGUGGUCGAAAAAAUGACCGCAUUCCGGAGGGGCCAUUUGGACUUAAGCCAGUUUUUUAACAAAUGUGAUUUUCCCACUGUCGUGGUUCUAAGCCUGACAGUAGAGUGGGGGGUAGGUAUGGAGAGGCAAGGUCCUAGCUACGGAGAGGUUGUAAGCACAAAGGAUGUACGAGUUCAGGCCCUUCUCGGAAGAAGCAACAGCCCUACGUCUCGGAGCCCGGAGGCGGUCGAGUGGAUUAUGAAUGUAUGGAUUACAAGGUACCGAACCCUUCUGCCUGUGGAGGAGGGUGGCUUAUAUAGAGUGCGCCAGGACCCCAGCCAGCCCACGUAGGAGAGGGUUUAAGGUGAGUUAAGUCUGGGGCGUUACUGGUAACGCCCCACAUAAAGAGCCUUUACUAUCAUAAAGUCUACUUAAUUACAGGCCGUUGCGGUGCAGAGUGCCUCUUGACCUCCAGAUGGUCGAGUGAGUCUUCGUGGUCGAGUCCUUCGGGCCAGUCGAGUGAAUCCUCGUUGGUCGACUGGAAGGCGACCUUUUCUAGGGAUGUCCUAGGGUAAGUUACUUGGAACAGGUCCAUGACCCUACCCUAGGUACAUAACCCCAUCAUUAGCCCCCGAAUGGAUUGAGGCUUCGAGUGAAGAAGGCGUUGAUGUCGUUUUCGAUUAACCUUUGCGCUUUAGUUGUGCGCUGUUCUGGAUCAAAAAUCUCUUCGUUGACAGGGAGCAAUUUGUCUUCGGUCGACUCGAUCCAUUCUAUUUUUGCGUCGAGUGAUCUUUCGAGCUUCGACGAUCUCCGAGCGACGGAUCGCCGGAAACACCGCGUCUGACAGACUGAUUUGUUGCUCGCGGAUUCCGCGGGGUGCGAAAUUUGGGGGCGCGCGCGAAGCGGGGCAGACCGUGGCGUUCGGAUGGGACGGGGCAUAGACGCCUCGAUCUCCGCGCCGCCUUUUUCGCCACGUACCCAGUCCUCAUAACUGCUCCCAGAUAUGAUUAGAUCGACCGGGCCCACAUGUCAGCCACUCGGAAGAGACCUUAUAAAUGCGCCCGGCGGGGAUUUCUGUGCUGCGCCUCAGCAUUCUCCCUCUCUCCCUCUGCCUCCUUCCUCUCUGCUCAGCGCGCUCGCUCUCACCUCCGCACCACUUUCCUUCGCGCAUUUCGCCGGCGACCAUGGCCAAGGAGAAGACGGCGGCGCUGGAGCGUGCCAAGAAGGCGUCGGCAUUGGAGAAGGUGAAGGGGAGAUCCACCACCCGCAGGGGGUCCUCGUCCAGAUCCCGCCUGCCGAAAGGCUGGGUCCAAGGAGACUGGAUCCAGUCGACCAUUACGGAGAAGGACCUCCUCGACAUGGCCAACGAGGGCUUGAUCCCUCACGGAGCUGCGAGGUUGCCGGGGAAGGAGUGGCAGCCACAACCAGAAGAGGGUGAGGGCGUGCUCCUGGCCACUCAUGUUGACCGAGGGUUUUCCUUGCCACCCAGCAUUUUCUUCCGUGGCUUCUUGAAUUUCUUUGGAGCGCAGCUCCACCACUUUACCCCAAACUCCAUUGCCUAUCUUGCUGCAUUCGUGUCCAUGUGUGAGGGUUUCUUGGGCUGCCGACCGCACUGGGGUUUGUUCAAACGCAUUUUCACGUGUCGCUCUCAGACCGUGAAGAAGGCUAGCCCAGGUGACGAGAAGACCCGAGUCGUCCAAAUGUGUGGGGGCCUGGGGAUUCAGGUGAGGAACAAUAGUACCUUCCCGCCCAUGAGCUUUCCCGAGUCCGUCAGAGGCUGGCAGUCGACUUGGUUCUACUGCCAGGUCCAGUCGACGCCAGGGCAGUCGAGUGGACUCCCUCCGUUUACCAUGGACCGAGUGAACAAGCCCUCCCCUCUGAAGCUGAUUCCGGAGGAGAAAGCCGAUGUGAAGAUGUUGAUGGAGCGCGUGGUGCAGUUGGUUCGGGAGGGGGUGACGGGCAUGGAUCUUCUGGAGGUCUUCCUCAGGCGUCGCAUCCAACCCCUUCAAUUCCGGAGCCACUGCAUGUGGUUGUACUGUGGGCCCGAAGACGAAACUAGAGUCCAUCCAGAAGAAGUCGACGAUGUCACUCUGGAAAGAUGGAUGGUAGCUGUUACCGGAAACAGGGACAACCCGCGCGGAGCCAGAAGGAUUCCUCCACUCGACCGCAACAGCAACCCAAACAAGGUACACUUGCUCUGUCCUCCACUGAGUCCUUGUCGUAUUCAUUUCUGCUAACCCUGUCGACUGGUCGACUGAUCUUUGUUUGUGCAUCUGCUAGGCCCUCACUGAACUGUACUCGAUGCCCAAUGGGGCACAAGCCUCGGCUGAGGAAGGCGAGGCGAGCGGGGGCGAGGCGAGCGGGGGCGAGAGCCAGGAAGAGGAGGAGUGGGAUUCGGAUGCUGCAGGGGAUGAUGACGACGAUGAUGAUGACGAAGGUGAUGAAGAUGACCUCGAGGACGAGGAAGAAGAGGAGGAGGAGGUCGUUCCACCGCGCUCAGAAAGGCGGUCGAAGCUUGUCCACGACCCUUCGACUGAACGUGGUAAGGGGGUUGGGACCGCGAUUCAGUCGACCAAGCGCCCUCGGACCACCUCUCCGGCGCCGACUGAAAAGGCGCCGAAGCAGCCCAGGGCGGCCUCAUCGAAGCCGACCAAGCUCUUGCCGAAGAUGAAGGUGUCCAUCCCUACCAUAUCAGGGUAAUUGCGUUGCUCAUAUUUUCUUACUCUGUGCGAACUUUGUCUUUGGUCGACGCUAAUGUUAGUCGACUGAUUCUUUGGAGUUGCAGUGCUGCUACCUCUGAGACUUCGGCCCGGGCCGAAGACCACGAGAUGGAGGAUGCGGCAACUUCGAACCCAGGUACUGUAUUCUUAACACCGUUGUUAGUCGACUGAUUUGCGACCUCUGAUCCUGAUUCUUCUUCGCAGUUCCGCCCCAUACUGUUAUCGAUCUUCCUGACGACGACGAGGAUGAAGAACCACUGGCACGCAGGAAGAGUCGGAAAACGCCCGCCAGUAAGGUGCCUCAGGACGUGACGGCGCCUGAGACUCUGACUGUGGAGGAAGAGAACACCACUCGACACACAGUGUCCUUCGCGAAUCCACUGUCGAGUGCUCAGCAGCCUUCCCUCUUCACGACUCACCACGUCCCAGAGGACCAAGCUGGUGCAGCGAAGGAGGCAAUACGCCAGGCGGGGCUCAUGAUGGAGCAGCUGAAGACCAUCCGGGAUGCGAGCCAGGCAGCUUAUGACGCCAGCUCUGCCCUCCAAAGCAAUGUCCAGGUCAGUCGACUGCUGUUUGUUCUGUUGGAUAUGCUACCAGAAGCUUUUCUUUUCCGGGAUUUAUAUUAGCCACCCACUGGGUGUGUUGAAUAAACACCGUGUUAGCGGGGGCACGCUGAGUGCACCCGCUGGGUGUAGUCCCCAAGGCUAAGGCCGACUGCUGGCAGUCGGCCUUAGGCUUUAUGAUAUCAAUCUUUCUGUCAGUCGACCGGUCGACUGGAUUUCGCAAACCGGUGGGGGCACGCUGAGUGCACCCACUGGGUGUAGUCCCCAAGGCUGAGGUCGACUGCUGGCAGUUGAUCACAGUCUUAGAGAAUGUGUCUUGCACACUGUUUUUUUUUUUAAAGGUCGACUGGUCGACUUUGUUUUCGACAGGAUUAGUGGGGGCACGCUGAGUGCACCCACUGGGUGUAGUCCCCGAGACUACGGUCGAAUGCUUGUAUUCGGCUGUAGUCUUAGAAACGUGUGUUUUUCCCUUUUUCACUCGGAAGUGAGUUACGUUUGACGUUUAGUCGAUUGGUUCUUCGCAGAACUCCUGUGAUCUUGUGGCUCGCUACUCAGAGCUGGAACAGAAGCAUACUCAAGUCGAGCUGAGCUUGAAGCUGGUUCAGGAGAAGCUGGCAAAGGCAAAGGAGGAGACCGAAGGUAUGUUUGGUGAGACCCUGACGACUGCUUUUUCCCUUGCUAGUUUCGGCAUCUGAUCUUGCUGUAACUUGCAGGUAAGGUAAGGGAGGCCCAGCAGAAGAAAGACCUUGAGCUAGCUGAGAAGAUCAAGCUUGCUGACGAGAAGUUGGCUUCAGUCACCAAGCUCGAACAAGACAAUACCAAUCUGAAAACUUCUCUUGGGAUUGCCAACAAGGAGGUCAGUCGACUGAGAACUGACAAAGCUGCCCUGACCGACCAAGUCAGCAAAUUGACUGAGAAGAAAACUGAACUGGAAACCUUCCUGAGUGGCCUUGCCAAGAAGCUGUUUCUUAUGCUUGAAGGUAAAUCUUCAUGUUUGGCAAAUAUUUCCAUUCGACUAUCUCUUUGACUUAAUGAUCAUCCUUGCAGAAUUUUGGCAAAACUUUGAAGAAGAAACCAGCCGACUGGAGCCAAACCUUGACCCCGUCAAUUCUCCGGUGAACGACGAAGUUGCCAUGGAUGUCUUCCGACUGGAGUCGCGUGUUGCAGCUGUCGUGGACUAUCUCGCAAGGCUGAAGGCCGCCACAUCUCGCAUCGACUCGACGCUCUGGCCUGAGGAGACACUUCAGAAUGACCUUGAGUCGCUGAUGGCCCGCUUGAACACGAUCCCUGGUCGAGUGCAAGAGUGGAAGAAGUCCUCGGCUCGGUGUGGUGCAGAUGUCGCUCUGUGUCUGGCCCGAGUCCACUGCAAAGAUGCACGAGAGGAGAAGCUGGCAGCCCUUCGGGUGGCCAAUACCAAGAAGCACGACUUCAGGUCCUUUAUGGAGACUUUCCUUGCAGCUGCCACUCGGAUCGCCGACGGAAUUGACCUUGAUGAAUUCGUUGCACCUUCCAGCCCUCCGCAGGAGGGGUGAAAAACUUCUUCUGGCUCGACUCUUUAAAUUUGCCUCGGUAUGCCGAGUGGAAUUGUAACCGACAAACUUUAACAGGCUUGACGCCUGAGCACUUUCGGUCCCUUUAAAUAUCGAUUCAAGCUUGAAUUUGGCGCUUGGAUAUGAUUGCCUUUGGCUCAAAAUGUCUUAUGCAGAUUCAAAGCAAGGUGCCUGUGCUUAGGCGAGCGCUUGGACUGCAGCUAAGCCUCCGAGUGAGAGGGUCGCUCUUCACUCGGUAGGAUUUUUGUAACUUAGGCGAGUGCUUGGACUGCAGCUAAGCCCCCGAGUGGAAGGCCGGCUUACCACUCGGUAGGAUUUUGAUAAACUUAGGCGAGCACGAAGCUGCAGCUAAGCCUCCGAGUGGAAGGCUGGCUUACCACUCGGUAGGAUUUUGAUAAACUUAGGCGAGUGCUUGGACUGCAGCUAAGCCCCCGAGUGAGAGGAUCGCUCGUCACUCGGUAGGAUUUUUAUAACUUAGGCGAGCACGAAGCUGCAGCUAAGCCUCCGAGUGGAAGGCUGGCUUACCACUCGGUAGGAUUUUGAUAAACUUAGGCGAGUGCUUGGACUGCAGCUAAGCCCCCGAGUGGAAGGCUGGCUUACCACUCGGUAGGAUUUUNNNNNNNNNNUGAGAAGAUCAAGCUUGCUGACGAGAAGUUGGCUUCAGUCACCAAGCUCGAACAAGACAAUACCAAUCUGAAAACUGCUCUUGGGAUUGCCAACAAGGAGGUCAGUCGACUGAGAACUGACAAAGCUGCCCUGACCGACCAAGUCAGCAAAUUGACUGAGAAGAAAACUGAACUGGAAACCUUCCUGAGUGGCCUUGCCAAGAAGCUGUUUCUUAUGCUUGAAGGUAAAUCUUCAUGUUUGGCAAAUAUUUCCAAUUGUGGCCUUUUCCAUUCGACUAUCUCUUUGACUUAAUGAUCAUCCUUGCAGAAUUUUGUCAAAACUUUGAAGAAGAAACCAGCCGACUGGAGCCAAACCUUGACCCCGUCAAUUCUCCGGUGAACGACGAAGUUGCCAUGGAUGUCUUCCGACUGGAGUCGCGUGUUGCAGCUGUCGUGGACUAUCUUGCAAGGCUGAAGGCCGCCACAUCUCGCAUCGACUCGACGCUCUGGCCUGAGGAGACACUUCAGAAUGACCUUGAGUCGCUGAUGGCCCGCUUGAACACGAUCCCUGGUCGAGUGCAAGAGUGGAAGAAGUCCUCGGCUCGGUGUGGUGCAGAUGUCGCUCUGUGUCUGGCCCGAGUCCACUGCAAAGAUGCACGAGAGGAGAAGCUGGCGGCCCUUCGGGUGGCCAAUACCAAGAAGCACGACUUUAGGUCCUUUAUGGAGACUUUCCUUGCAGCUGCCACUCGGAUCGCCGACGGAAUUGACCUUGAUGAAUUCGUUGCACCUUCCAGCCCUCCGCAGGAGGGGUAAAAAACUUCUUCUGGCCCGACUCUUUAAAUUUGCCUCGGUAUGCCGAGUGGAAUUGUAACCGACGAACUUUAACAGGCUUGACGCCUGAGCACUUUCGGUUCCUUUAAAUAUCGAUUCAAGCUUGAAUUUGGCGCUUGGAUAUGAUUGCCUUUGGCUCAAAAUGUCUUAUGCAGAUUCAAAGCAAGGUGCCUGUGUUUAGGCGAGCGCUUGGACUGCAGCUAAGCCUCCUGAGUGAGAGGGUCGCUCUUCACUCGGUAGGAUUUUUGUAACUUAGGCGAGCACGAGGCUGCAGCUAAGCCUCCGAGUGGAAGGCUAGCUUACCACUCGGUAGGAUUUUUAUAACUUAGGCGAGCACGAGGUCGCAGCUAAGCCUCCGAGUGGAAGGCUGGCUUACCACUCAGUAGGAAUUUGAUAAACUUAGGCGAGCACGAAGCUGCAGCUAAGCCUCCGAGUGGAAGGCUGGCUUACCACUCGGUAGGAUUUUGAUAAACUUAGGCGAGUGCUUGGACUGCAGCUAAGCCCCCGAGUGAGAGGAUCGCUCGUCACUCGGUAGGAUUUUUAUAACUUAGGCGAGCACGAAGCUGCAGCUAAGCCUCCGAGUGGAAGGCUGGCUUACCACUCGGUAGGAUUUUGAUAAACUUAGGCGAGUGCUUGGACUGCAGCUAAGCCCCCGAGUGGAAGGCUGGCUUACCACUCGGUAGGAUUUUUAUAACUUAGGCGAGCACGAAGCUGCAGCUAAGCCUCCGAGUGGAAGGCUGGCUUGCCACUCGGUAGGAUUUUGAUAAACUUAGGCGAAACGGAUUCGCAGCUAAGCCUCCGAGUGAGAGUCUGGCUCACCACUCGGUAGGAUUUUUACAAACUUAGGCGAAACGGAUUCGCGGCUAAGCCACCCACUGAGGGGGAGUUUUUAUAUGGACAAAGAUAAAAAGUGAUGACACUAUUAUUUCUAAACCCAUGAACUACAGAAGUACUUUAUUGCAACUCAUCCGAGUGAUAAAACUUAAGUGUAAAAUGGGCGGAGUAGCUCCGCGUUCCAAGCUCGGGGCUCGUCGAUAUUAUGCUCGACGUUGUAAAGACGGUACGCCCCGUUGUGGAGAACCUUUGUGACGAUGAAGGGGCCUUCCCAAGAAGGAGCAAGCUUGUGUGGUUUGUGCUGAUCCACUCGGAGAACCAGAUCCCCUUCCUGGAAGGCUCGACCUCUCACAUUUCGGGCGUGGAAACGGCGCAGAUCUUGUUGGUAGAUGGUCGAGCGGAUCAGAGCCAUCUCCCUUUCUUCCUCCAAAAGGUCGACUGCGUCCUGCCGCGCUUGUUCAGCUUCUGCUUCGUUAUAGAUUUCGACUCGAGGAGCAUUAUGCAGAAGGUCACUCGGCAAGACUGCUUCAGCUCCAUAGACCAAGAAGAAUGGAGUUCUUCCGGUCGACCGAUUGGGCGUGGUCCGCAGUCCCCAGAGUACAGAUGGAAGUUCGUCGACCCAAGCUCCAGCCGCGUGUUUGAGAUCACGCAUCAGUCGCGGCUUCAGUCCCUUGAGAAUCAGUCCAUUAGCUCGCUCUGCUUGUCCAUUCGACUGCGGAUGGGCGACUGAUGCGUAGUCGACCCGUGUGCCCUGGGAGUUGCAGAAGGUUCUGAAUUCCUCUGAGUCAAAGUUCGACCCAUUAUCCGUAAUGAUGCUGUGCGGGACUCCAUAUCUGAAUAUUAGUUCCCUGAUGAAGCUAACAGCAGUACCGGUGUCGAGGCUCUUGAUUGGUUUAGCCUCGAUCCACUUGGUGAACUUGUUGACCGCCACCAGUACAUGUGUGAAGCCGCUUCGUCCUGUUCUCAAAGGGCCGACCAUGUCCAGCCCCCAAACUGCAAAAGGCCAGACGAGUGGGAUGGUCUUCAAAGCUGACGCAGGCUUGUGCGACAUAUUCGAGUAGAACUGACAUCCCUCGCACUUAUCCACUAUCUCCUUUGCCAUCUCAUUCGCCUUGGGCCAGUAAAAUCCGGCUCGGUAUGCCUUGGCCACGAUGGUCCGAGAGGACGCAUGGUGACCGCAGGUCCCUGAGUGAAUAUCAUUGAGGAUGAGUCGACCUUCUUCUGGCGUUAUGCACUUCUGGCCGACUCCAGUCGCACUUUCUCUGUAUAAUUGUCCUUUGAUUACGGUAAAGGCUUUAGAUCGACGGACGAUCUGUCGAGCCUCUUCCUCAUUCUCCGGAAGCUCUUUCCUCAAGAUAUAUGCGACGUACGGAAUCGUCCAGUCGGGAACGACCACCAAAACCUCCAUGACCAAGUCGACCACUGCUGGGACUUCCACUUCAGUCGGAUCUGUGGCGCUCUUAGGCUGCGGAGUUUCUUCUGUGAAAGGGUCUUCUUUGACUGACGGAGUAUGUAUAUGCUCCAAGAAUACGCCACUCGGAAUGGCUUCUCUCUUGGAACCUAUCUUUGCUAGAUCAUCAGCUGCUUGAUUCUUCAGUCGGGGUAUAUGAUGGAGCUCCAACCCCUCGAACUUUUUCUCCAGCUUCCUCACUGCACUGCAGUAUCCAGUCAUGGCUGGGCUUCUCACGUCCCACUCUUUCAUCACCUGAUUGACCACUAAAUCCGAGUCGCCAUAGACCAUUAGGCGACGGACGCCGAGUGAAAUGGCCAUGCGCAACCCAUAUAGGAGGGCCUCAUAUUCUGCCUCAUUGUUGGAGGAAUCAAAGUGAAUCUGGAGCACAUAUCUGAGCUUAUCUCCUCUGGGGGAAACCAAGACAACCCCAGCACCGGAACCAUUCAACAUCUUAGAACCAUCGAAAAACAUGGUCCAAUGCUCCGAGUGAACUUCAGUCGGCUGCUGCUGUUCGAUCCACUCGACGAGGAAAUCUGCUAUUGCCUGGGACUUAAUGGCUUUCUUUGCCUCGAACUUGAUAUCAAGGGGAAGAAGUUCAAUCGCCCAUUUGGCCACUCGACCAGUUGCAUCUCUGUUGUGCAAAAUCUCUGAUAGUGGAGCGUCGCUGACGACUGUGAUUGAAUGGUCAGAGAAAUAAUGAGCAACCUUCUUUGUGGUCAUGUAUAUUCCAUACACAAGCUUCUGAUAAUGAGGAUAUCUCUGCUUGGAUGGAGUCAAGACUUCAGACAAAUAAUACACUGGGCGCUGAACUUUGAGAGCUUUUCCUUCUUCUUCCCGCUCGACCGUUAGCACAGUACUGACGACUUGUCCUGUGGCUGCGAUGUAGAGCAACAGAGGCUCUUUGCCGAUUGGAGCAGCAAGCACCGGCUGGGUGGAGAGCAGAGCUUUUAGCUCGGCAAACGCUGCAUCAGCUUCUGGAGUCCACUCGAACUUGUCAGCCUUUUUCAUCAGUCGGUAAAGGGGCAGUGCCUUUUCACCGAGUCGUGAGAUGAAUCGACUUAAUGCGGCCAAGCAUCCAGUAAGCUUCUGGACAUCGUGCACUCGCACAGGGCGUUUCAUUCGGAGAAUAGUGCCGAUCUUUUCUGGGUUGGCGUCGAUUCCCCGUUCGGAAACGAGAAAACCGAGUAACUUGCCACCAGGAACUCCAAAUGUGCACUUUGAUGGAUUGAGCUUGAUAUCAUACCUUCUGAGGUUGGCAAAUGUUUCAGCAAGGUCAGCGAGCAGGUCGGAACCUUUUCGUGACUUGACAACAAUAUCAUCCAUAUAAGCUUCCACAUUCUGACUGAUUUGAGUGAGGAGACACUUCUGGAUCAUUCGCAUAAAUGUGGCUCCGGCAUUCUUGAGACCGAAUGGCAUGGUGAUAUAGCAGAAGCACCCGAAUGGAGUGAUGAAAGCUGUUUUUACUUCAUCGGGCCCAUACAGACGGAUCUGGUGGUACCCGGAGUAAGCAUCUAAAAAAGACAACCUCUCGCAUCCCGCGGUCGAGUCAACAAUUUGAUCUAUGCGAGGGAGAGGAAAGUGAUCUUUCGGGCAGGCCCAGUUGAUGUGCUUGAAAUCAAUGCACAUUCGGAGCGAUUUGUCCUUCUUAGGAACCAUGACGACAUUAGCGAGCCACUCGGAGUGGAAUAUCUCUCGGAUAAAUCCUGCCGCCAACAGUCGAGCCACUUCUUCGCCGAUGGCCUUUCUCUUCUGGACGGCGGACCGCCGAAGAUGUUCUUUGACUGGUUUUGCAGACUUGUCGACUCUUAGGCGAUGCUCAGCCAGUCCCCUGGGAACACCUGGCAUGUCAGCGGGCUUCCAUGCAAAAAUGUCCCAGUUCUCACGGAGGAACUGGAUGAGCGCUUCUUCCUAUUUUGGGUCGAGUGUUGUGGAGAUGCGGGUCGGAGCGGCAUCGGGGUCGGUCGGGUGAAUGUGAACAGGCUUUGUCUCACCGGACGACUGGAAUGCAGAUUCUGUGGCGGGCUUCUUGGAUCGCAGCAAGUCACUCGGAUCUGCGCUUUGCUUGUAUUCUUCGAACUCGACCGCUGUCACUUGGGAAUCGGCAAUUUUGGAGCCCUUUUGAAAGCACUCUUCUGCCUUUUUCCUAUCACCGGUGACAGUGAUCACACCUUUGGGACCGGGCAUCUUCAAUUUGAGGUACACGUAACAUGGUCGAGCCAUGAACCGUGCAUAGGCUGGCCUCCCCAAAAUGGCAUGAUAUGCACUUUGAAAAUCCACGACCUCAAACGUCAACUUUUCUUUGCGAAAAUGCUUUGAAUCGCCAAACACUACGUCCAAAGCUAUCUGGCCGAGUGACUCGGCCUUCUUCCCUGGUAUAACUCCAUGGAAGCUCAUGUUACUAGUGCUCAGUCGGGACAUCGGAAUGCCCAUACCUUUCAACGUGUCUGCAUAUAACAGAUUCAGCCCACUUCCAUCGUCCAUCAGCACCUUUGUCAGUCGAGUGCCUUCGACAACUGGAUCGACCACCAAAGCUUGCCUCCCAGGGGUGGCAAUAUGGGACGGGUGAUCAGAUUGGUCGAAUGUGAUGGGCGUUUGAGACCACUUCAGAUAACUUGCCUUUGCUGGGGCAACCAUGUUAACCUCUCGGUUAAUCACUUUCAGUCGACUUCUGCUUUCCACAUCUGCGAAGAUCAUCAGAGUGGAGUUGAUAUGCGGAUAUCCUCCCUCACUGUCCUCUUUGUCUUCGGCUUUGUCUGACUCCUUCUCCUUGUCCUUAGACUGUUUUCCCUGAAACUGCUGGAUCAGGAGUCGACAUUGGCGAGUGGUGUGCUUUGGGUAAAUGAUAUUCCCCUCUUCAUCUUUCUUCGUGUGGAUGUGGCACGACAUAUCCAUCACGUCGUUCCCUUCUUUAUCCUUCACCUUCUUGGGGUUCCAGGAUCCUUUUGGUUUCCCCUUAGACUUUCCUUGAGUCACGGCCAGAGCCUCCCCAGGAGCUGCCGGUUCAGCCUUCCGCUUCUGUUUCCGACUGGUGUUUCCUUUUUCCGACUGGCUCGGCUUGUGUUUGCCGCUUCGGAGUCGGUCUUCUUCUUCGCCGUUGGCGUACUUGGUAGCAAUCUCCAUCAUCCGACUCAAGGUCAUGUCACCGGUUCGACCAAAUUUCAAACUCAGUUCUCUGUUCUUGACACCAUCUUUGAAGGCGCAUACUGCCUGAUGGUCAGAGACAUUUUCCACAGUGUGGUGCAAAGUGAUCCACCUCUGAAUAUACUCUCUGAGAGUCUCAUUGGUUUUCUGCACGCAGACUUGCAACUCUGUCAAUCCCGCUGGUCGCUUGCAAGUCCCUUCAAACGUUCUGACAAACACUCGGGACAGAUCUUCCCAAGUGUAAAUGCUGCUAGGAGGUAAUUGAGUCAACCAUGCCCUGGCAGAACCUUCCAACAUGAGGGGCAAAUGCUUCAUGGCCACCUCGUCGUUCCCACCACCGAUCUGAACUGCCACUCGGUAGUCUUCAAGCCAAGUUUCAGGCUUGGACUCACCAGUGAACUUGCUGACUCCUGUUGCCAGCCUGAAAUUGGGGGGGAUAACUGCGGCUCUGAUAGCUCUGCUGAAACAUUCAGGACCAGAAACAUGUACUCGACUGCUCGUGGGCGCAUCUCUGUCGAGUGCGCCUCGAUGGGCUCUGUUCCGGUCGACCAACCCUUGCACGAUAAUGGAUCGCGCGUCGAAGCCUGGCUCUCUAUGGUCAACUGGAACCCUACGCCCUGUACUGUACUGACGCCUAUCAUCUGGCCGCCGAGGAGCGUAAGACCCACCCCUCGGAGGGGAAUAGGGCACUCGACGCCUAUCAUCUCGGUCGAGUCUGUCGCCAUAUUGAUCUCGCCGAUUCUCACGCCCUUCGCGCCGCGGAGGCGAUCUGGGGCUGUGAGCCGACUGAACCGUAUUCACAGUGACAGAUCGACUGUGAAUUCUGUUGCGCGACUGAGACACGGCCGAAUUCUGAUCUCCUGCUGCCCGGAGCAGAUCCCUGAUCUGCAGCAAACCUCUGCCAGCCUCUGACUGCGAAGGCUGAAUGGACUCUGCUAUACGGGUAGCAGCUGCUAAAUUCUGAAUUGGGGUUCGAUAUACCUGAGUCGACGGGAAGAGUUGACGUCGACUGGUGUCGGGAACUCGUUGCCGCGCGCGCUCGUCGAGUGCUCGCUGAAGGUUCUCCAGUCGAGUGCGCUCGGCCAAGUUGGCCAGACGCGCCUCCUCCAAGGCACGAGCCUCGGGGGUUUCUCCCGCGAUGGGAAUACGCAGGGGAUCCUCGUUCCUGCGGCGAAGCUCUUCUCUUUGCAGAGAGUCGAGUGGCUCGGGCUGGUACUCUUCGUAGCCUCGAGCAGGGUCUCCGCCGUCGCCUGCUCCACCACCGCGGGCGAAGCCAGGAGGGCUGUGGGGCCCGUCGACCAUCAAGAUUUCCGCCGCUGGAUCACUGCUUCCGCACUCGGAUGCAGUCUCUCCGGAGCCAGUCGACUGAUCGAACAAGCCGUAGAGAGAUUCGUUGGGCUCGAUUGCCGCAACUUGUGUAGUGGUCGACUGGCGAGCCAUCGCGUGACUCACCCAUCGCUGAAGCCUCGACCGGCCCGAGCGCUUGCGCUGGCGGGAGACCGGGAGGGUGGAAGACGGAGGAACCGACCGGUACUGGGUCGAUGGCUGCCGCAGCAGAACGCCGCGGACACAUGCGCGAAAAUGCGUCGCACCGCGGACGGGGAGCGCAUCCACGUCGAGUGGAGCCUCUUGGAGCCAUGCGGAGUCGUCGGCGAUGAAGGUGAGAGCGCCGAGACGGAUCUCUUGGCCCUCGACCAAAACUCCAGCAGACACCAUGAUGGAAAUACUCGGAAGAAUCGCAACUUCUCCGAAAAAUCGCUAAAACACCCGCCCCACGGUGGGCGCCAACUGUCGUGGUUCUAAGCCUGACAGUAGAGUGGGGGGUAGGUAUGGAGAGGCAAGGUCCUAGCUACGGAGAGGUUGUAAGCACAAAGGAUGUACGAGUUUAGGCCCUUCUCGGAAGAAGCAACAGCCCUACGUCUCGGAGCCUGGAGGCGGUCGAGUGGAUUAUGAAUGUAUGGAUUACAAGGUACCGAACCCUUCUGCCUGUGGAGGAGGGUGGCUUAUAUAGAGUGCGCCAGGACCCCAGCCAGCCCACGUAGGAGAGGGUUUAAGGUGAGUUAAGUCUGGGGCGUUACUGGUAACGCCCCACAUAAAGAGCCUUUACUAUCAUAAAGUCUACUUAAUUACAGGCCGUUGCGGUGCAGAGUGCCUCUUGACCUCCAGAUGGUCGAGUGAGUCUUCGUGGUCGAGUCCUUCGGGCCAGUCGAGUGAAUCCUCGUUGGUCGACUGGAAGGCGACCUUUUCUAGGGAUGUCCUAGGGUAAGUUACUUGGAACAGGUCCAUGACCCUACCCUAGGUACAUAACCCCAUCACCCACCACCUCCAAAUCACCCAAAUGUUCUUGCACAUGGUGACCCACAUGUGCCACACAUGCCUAUGAAAGAAAAUUUGGAAAAAGUAUAUUUUACAAUGCCCCCCUGAGGUAUAGACUGAUUUUUUGACCAGUCAUUCUAGAGGGAUUAUAAAUUAAUAAAAAAUUCAAAAAUAUAAAACCUUGGAAACCUAGCUUUGUUUGUGCAAGAGAUCAUGUGUGCCAAAAUUGAGGUGAUUUGGAGAUGGUCGAAAAAACCCUAGAACACUGCCCCGGCGUGACACAACGUGUGUUUUGUGUCCGAAUUCGUGCACACCUUGCCUGGGGGGCCCACAUUAGGCAUGCUCACAUGCUCUCAAAAGUUGGGGUCAUAUCAUGCAUGCCCCCACAUGCACCAUGUACAAGCCGGACCAUUCGGGUCUGCCCGAGGGCAAGUUUGAAAGAGGUUUUCCCUGCCGUCCCCACCAAAUGAUCCCAAACUUUUUGCACAUCCUACCAUGACCAUGGCAUGCAUGUGGGAGGAGAAUUCAUACACCACAGCCUCAUUUUUGUUGAAAUCCCAUUAAUAUCCAUGUGUAUUACAUGUAAUUGAGCAUGUGUAAAAUUUAUUAGAUGACUUGAAAUCCCAUUAAUAUCCAUGUGUAUUACAUGUAAGUGAGCAUGUGUAAAAUUUAUUAGAUGACUUGAUGGUCAAAACAUUAACUUGUUAUAUAUGAAAAAGAAAAUGUGUAUUGAAUGCAAGUGAGCAUACGUAUAAUUUAGUGUGUGAUUUGAAGAUCAAAACACAUGGCAAUAUGCCAAAAAAGUGCAUACACCACGGCCUGCAUACGACUAGGAACCCUGCCGUUCAUGGGAUAGGAUACAGGCCCGUGGUGCAGACUAUCUCUGGUGCUAGUAGGCCCCAUGGGGCAGAGGGGACGAGAGUUAGGCAAUGUACUGCCUGCAUAUGAUAGGAGCUUGGGAGGGGAGUUGCAGCCGGGUAUAUAAACCGGUGCGGUGCUCUCUCGCUUGGCGAGGUGGGACUAAACUCCCACCACCCAACGGUUGUGCGCUGCGAUGUGCCCUGCGCGGCUCUGCCUUGGGCCCAAUUCGGGCGGGCUGGCCCAGGGCAGCCUUACCCGCACGCUGAUCUGUUUUAUAUUCUCUUUGUUUUUCACUUCUUAACUUCAAAAUUUCUUUUCUUGUUUAUAUUUCUAAUAUUUAAAAUCAACUCUCUUUUCUUCUAUAUUAUUUCUAACAGUGUUUACUAAAAUUAAAAAAUUAUGCCAAAUUCUGUUGUGUUUUAUUUCAUUUGUUCGUUCUCUUUUUUAUGUUGAUAAUAUUUACGAAAUAUAAACUAAAAUGGUGUGUUUUAUUUUAAUUCUUCAUUCUAAUAUUUCUUAUCUUUAUUAUAUUUGAAAUAUUUUUAGUUUGUAAAAUAAAACGUUCUGUUUUAUUUCACUUCUUCAUUCUAAUAUUUGUUCUCUUCUUUNNNNNNNNNNNNNNNNNNNNNNNNNNNNNNNNNNNNNNNNNNNNNNNNNNNNNNNNNNNNNNNNNNNNNNNNNNNNNNNNNNNNNNNNNNNNNNNNNNNNNNNNNNNNNNNNNNNNNNNNNNNNNNNNNNNNNNNNNNNNNNNNNNNNNNNNNNNNNNNNNNNNNNNNNNNNNNNNNNNNNNNNNNNNNNNNNNNNNNNNNNNNNNNNNNNNNNNNNNNNNNNNNNNNNNNNNNNNNNNNNNNNNNNNNNNNNNNNNNNNNNNNNNNNNNNNNNNNNNNNNNNNNNNNNNNNNNNNNNNNNNNNNNNNNNNNAUUCUGAUAGAUCUUAUCUUUUUUACAUUUGAAUUAUUUUUAAAUGUAACAUAAUAUGUUGUCUUUUAUUGCACUUAUUCAUUCAAAUUUUUCUUCUGUUAUCUAUAUUCUCCUCUUGUCUUUGUUCUGACAGUUAUAAAUUUAAAUAAUGUAUGAUAUAAUGCUGUCUUUUAUUUCACUUUUCAUGGUUGUCUUUUUUAAUUAUAAAUUUUCUUUUCUGUUUCAUACUUGAAAUAUUAUGAAAUCAAAUAUAGUUGGCACAAUUGCAUGUAUGCCUCCACUUGCACCAUGUACUAGAAGCAGUUUUUUCUUCUCGGUCUCACCAAUUGAUACCAAACUUUUAUGCACACCCUACGAUGAGCAUAGCAAGCAUGCAUGGCAACUACCGUUCAUUUCCGACACUCGAUGCAUUUUGUAGGCGUUUUGCGGUGAUAAAACCCUAGAACAGUGUCCCGACGUGACGCAACGUGCGUAUUGUGUCCGAAUUCGUUCACACCUUGCCUGGGGGCCACAUUGGCCAUGCCCACGUGCUCCCAAAAAGUUGGGAUCAUCUCAUGCAUGCCUCCACAUGAACCAUGUACAAGCCGGACCAUUUGGGUCUGCCGGAGGGCAACUUUGAAAGAGGUUUUCCUUGCCGGUCCCACCAAAUGAUCCCAAACUUUUUGCACACCCUACCAUGACCAUGGCAUGCAUGUGGGAGGAGAAUUCAUACACCACAGCCUCAUUUUGUUGAAAUCUCAUUAAUAUCCAUGUGUAUUACAUGCAAGUGAGCAUGUGUAAAAUUUAUUAGAUGAUUUGAAGGUCAAAACAUUAACUUGUCAUAUAUGCAAAAAAAUGUGUAUUGAAUGCAAGUGAGCAUGUGUAUAAUUUAGUGUGUGAUUUGAAGAUCAAAACACAUGGCAAUAUACCAAAAAAUGUGCCCACCUACCAGAGUAGGAGAAUUCAUACACCCCGGCCUGCAUACGACUAGGAACCCAGCCGUUCAUGGGCCAGGAUGCAGGCCCGUGGUACAGAAUCUCUGCUGCUAGUAGGCCCCACGGGUCAGAGGGGACGAGAGUUCGGCAAUGUACUGCCUGCGUAUGAUAGGAGCUUGGAAGGGGAGUCGCAACUGGGUAUAUAAACCGGUGCGGCGCUCUCUCGCUUGGCGAGGUGGGACUAAACUCCCACCACCCCACGGUUGUGCCCUGCGCGGCUCUGCCUUGGGCCCAAUUCGGGCGGGCUGGCCCAGGGCAGCCUUACCCGCGCGCUGAUAUGUUUUGUAUUUUCUUUGUUUUUCACUUCUUAACUCCAAAAUUUCUUUUCUUAUUUAUAUUUCUAAUAUUUAAAAUCAAAUCUCUUUUUUUCUAUAUUAUUUCUAACAGUGUUUACUAAAAUUAAAAAAUAUGCCAAAUUCUGUUGGGUUUAUUUCAUUUGUUCGUUCUCUUUUUUAUAUUGAUAAUAUUUACGAAAUAUAAACUAAAAUGAUGUGUGUUAUUUCAAUUCUUCAUUCUAAUAUUUCUUAUCUUUAUUAUAUUUAAAAUAUUUUUAUUUUGUAAAAUAAAAUGUUCUGUUUUAUUUCACUUCUUCAUUCUAAUAUUUGUUUUCUUCUUUAUAUUUGAAAUAUUUCCAAAAUGUAAGAUAAUAUGUUAUCUUCUAUUUGACUUCUUCAUUCUGAUAGAUCUUAUCUUUUUACAUUUGAAUUAUUUUUUAAAUGUAACAUAAUAUGUUGUCCUUCCUAAUUAUAAAUUAUAUUUUCUGUUUGAUACUUGAAAUAUUAUUAAAUCAAAUCUAGUUGGGACAAUCACAUGCAUGCCUCCACAUGCACCAUGUACUAGAAGCAAGUUUAUCUUCUUGGUCUCACCAAUGGAGACCAAACUGUAUGCACACCCUACAAUGACCAUGGCAAGCAUGCAUGGCGAGUAUCGUUCAUUUCUGACACUCGAUGCAUUUUCUAGGGUUUUUCCGGCGACAAAACCCUACAACACUGCCCCCACGUGACGCAACGUGCAUUUUAUGUCCGAAUUUGUGCACACCUUGCCUGGGGGACCACAUUGGCCAUGCCCACAUGGUCCCAAAAGUUGGGGUCAUCUCAUGCAUGCCUCCACAUGCAUAGUGUACAAGCAGGACCAUUCGGAUCUGCCGAAGGGCAGGUCUGAAAGUGGUUUUCCUUGCCGGUCCCACCAAUUAGGAAGUCAUAAAUAGGACAACAUUUAAUCAUACAUAUUUGAAAUGAAAUUGAAAACAAUGAGAAGAAAUGAUAUGGAAUUAUGAAAUAUGAACAAAAAAAAGAGGAAUAAGAAGGAGAAAACAUAAAAUAACAGGAAAACCAAAUUAAAAGGGAAAGAGGAACAAUACAUUUGAAUGUAUAAUAUUGAAGAAAUGAUAUAGAUACUAUAAAUAUUGUUGAACAUAUACAAGUAUACAAUAACUAAUAGGAGUCGCAAAGAGUUUUUUUUAGGGAAGAACCAAUGAUAUUUAUUUUGAGGGAAGAAACUAUGUAGGUAGGUGGGCCGGCCCAGAUCGCAAAUAACUAUUGGAUCCAUAUUGUGGGGGGCACAACGCUGCCCUUUCCAUGCACGUUGAUCACGGGACUAGUUGCCGUUCUGUUACACAAUUCUGGGAUCGAGAUAAUCCAUAUGUUCCUAAUCCCUACGAUUGAGGAGCACGUUCAGCCUCGCUUCAAUGGAGGAAAAUAUAGAUCGCGAGAUUGGCCACAGGGAAGUUACGACGACCUAGGAGUCGACCUCGUAUAUAAUAUCCUCCUCCUCGCGCAUGUCGUCGACUAGAUCGCCUCCUGCUGGCGAGUCAUCGACAGCUCCGUCCGCCGCAUCCCACACUCCACAAAAACACCGAGAAGAUCAAGGUCGUCCGCACGUGCAGGCCGACCUCGACGAACUACGUCGACAACGCAUCGCCGACUUCUUUCAUCUUCGUCGACCGAUCAAGUAAAUUAUCCUCCUUACCUCGCGCCUUCAUAGCAAGCUGGUUCCUCCGUCUCGUUGCUUUCAUGGACUUAGGUUUACCACAUACUUUCAACUAGUAUCAACUCGACUAGAUGCGUUCUGACUAGAUGGCGUAGAUGAAAUAAAUAUUUGGUUCUUUCAUAGCAUGGUUGAAUAAGAUGUUGUUUCUCGAGAAGCAUGAUGCAAUAGAUUUUUUGUCACAUGAUCCAAUUAUAUUUUUGUCACACUAUCCAAUUAUAUUACACUAUCCAAUUAUAUUGUUGUGCACAUAGAACAUUAAAGAGUUAUAAGCAUUAGAUGUUGAUGAACCUCAAAUAGGUACCAUUGCUAUAGACUCUAGUUAUUUACAGCUGAUCAAUUUGUCACCCUGUUAAUAAGACAACCAGACGAAUUAGUAACAGUUAACCAUAUUAAAUUUAUUGAUUAUAUAAUAUAUCUCAUACUCAAAGAACUUGAUCAGAUGCAAGUAAAUUCAAUUACCAAUUGUAGUUAUUUUUUAAUUGCCUCAUGUCAGCACACACUUGGCUGCAUGUUGCAGUAUACAUGGUGCUAUUUGCAUUAGUGUUUUUUUUUGCAUUAGUGUUAGCUACUGCCAGAAAGUUUUAUAUUUUUGCAUGUCUACUGUUAUUUUUGCAUUAGUGUUUGCUAAUUUCACGAAGUUAUAUAUUUUCUUUCAAUAGGAUGGACGAGCUGAAUGGAGAAAUAGUAUGCACCGUUGAAAAAUGGUGCAAGCUUGUUGCAACUCUAUCGAGCGGUCAACGCACUAGAGUGGCUAAUACAACAUUGCGCAACAUGCUGCAGAUACCAUCUAUUAAGAUGCGUACCCUGCUCAUUAGGUAUAGGAUUGAGAAUUUUCAGGCCAGCACGGCCAGAUUCAUUAAACAGGAGUAGGUUGGGGAGGUGACUCUCGGUGCGGUCAAUGUUGAGUUCAUCUUUAACCUCGAGAACCAAGGACUGUCCGCUUCGGACAUUCUGACUGAAGAAGGCGAGGACAUCAAGGAGCGGGUGCCGCCACAAUUUCUCAGUAAGACAUCAGAAAACAUAGUGAUAGAUAAUCCCAUUGAGGACAUAAUUAAAAGUAAAGCCACUGACGACGAUUUUCUUCGAAAGGUAGUCCUUGUCCUGUUAGGAACAGUUAUUGCUCCCAUGUCGAGCAAGAUUGUGCCAAAGCAGUACUACGCUUUGGUCGACAAUGUGAAACGUAUUUCAAAGAUUAACUGGAAUGCGUUCACCCUGCGUGUUUUCCUUGAUUGCCUUCGCAUAGUCAAGAAAGGAAAACACCUUCGCCAAUGGCUGAAAGGCAAUUUGGCUCUGUUGUAGGUACACAUAUGAGACAUGUUGCAUAAUGUCAAUUAUCAUAUCAUUGCAAUUUUAUGUGAUGUAUUGUACUAACUCUAUAUCCUUAUAUUUUUUGUAGUACUUGUACUGGGAGAAGGUGCAACCUGUCGAAGGCGAAUGCGCCUAUAAUCCCAACUUGUCCAUACAACCUCUUAUGAGGAACUGGACCGAAGGUGCAGCCACUAGGAGAGAUCGGUUCGACUAUGACAAUGAGCGUGGCCAUGGUAACAUCAAGGUAAGUCAUUGUGUUCUAUUUUUCUUAAAUGUUUUGUAACUUAAUAAUAUUUUUUAUUCAUCACAAGUACUUCAAUAUCGCAUGCAGAUUGAAAAUAAUAUCACCCAGGAGUAUAGGGCGCAGGAGCCCAACAUCCCAAAUAAUGCGCCUACCAUGAAGCCAAAAACCAAGCCUGCAAAUGGAAAUGCAAAUAAGUCGACGAUGGCCCCAAUGUCGGAAGAUUUGAUGGAGCUUGUAAUGAAGCGGUGCAUGGACUUCAUACACACCCAGAUGAGGCAAAUCCCUGAUCAAGUUGCUGAGGUGUCACACCCUUACUUUGUAGUUUACAGUAUGUUUGUUGUUUUAAACCAUGCUAGCAUUACUAAAUUUAUAUUUCUAUUGCAGAGGUUGUUGGAGAAGUUGAACAAAUCAGGUGUCAUGUACAAGCCGGCUGCUACCAUGCCAUCCACGGACAAUGAUGUGGAUGAAGAACUGGAUUCGUUCGAGAAUGGUCCAUAUGAAAAGAAGGAAUUCGUGUACAAGGAUGACAUAGACUCACGCGGAGAGCCUGUCAUUGACAUGACGCAGCCUGAUGAAGUGGUUCCCAACCAUAAAACCGUACCUAAGGUACUAUGUAUAUAUAUUUAUGUCUAUAAUUUUGUCCUUUAAUUUAUUCACGUGCUGAAAUGUUCACAUGAUUUUGUUUGCCAAACAGAAAACCCCACCGAAGAUGAAUGGACACAAGGAAGCUUCACCUAUUAAGCGUAAUGAUGAAUGUGGUGCUACACCCGAAAACCCUUGGGUCGUUGGCACUUCUACUCAAGCACCUUCAUCGGACAUAGAAAUUUGUCCAUCUUCUGUCAGCAGGUCCAUGGCUAAGGCGAAUGGGAGAAAGGGUGCAACAAUCGAUAAGGAUGAGGAAGUUAUGUCCGGUAAGCGCAAGCGGACCGUUCCUAGGAAAUUUGAAUCCCCCUACGCACUUGACAAGCCCAGUAGGCGUAGCAACCGUGGUCAGAAACCCUCCGGUACUACUACUGCUAGUAGAGGUAUCGUAACUAACUUUCUUAGUUUUUUAUAUACUACGAAUGCAUAUGAUCACCAUUGUUAACGUUCAUAUUAUUUCAUGCAGCUCUGUUUUUUGAAAAUCAUGAGCCGGAGGUUGUGGCAGAUGAGUUGACGCCGGAAAUAAUUGAUGCAGCUAUUUCAUUUGUCGAGUUAGCUGCUAGCACCAAGAAGAAUAAGGGUAAGAAAGUUUACUACAGUGAAGGGCGUGGCAUAUCUCUGACUUCCGAAAGAAUUCGACCGGUACUAACUCAUAGAUGGCUAUAGGACGAUGUAAGUACUACUUGCAUGUGUUGUUAUUAAAAUUCUCAAUAAUCUAUGUCUCAACUUUCAACAUGUAAUGCCCUGAUAUUCUAUGAAGGUUAUUGAUGCUUAUAUGGGACAUUUGGAGCUGCGUGUUGGUCAUGAUCGUUACCUCUGUCCAGCGUGGAGGUCCAAAUUCCCUGUAGAUCGUGCUAUCACAUGAGAUGAUCCAUUGCCGUCGAGCUGCAACAUGGAUAGUGCUCUGUCCAAAGCUGGAGCAGUUAAUAGAGUCACGAAAGAGUAUACUGUGCGUGAUAAGGUACGUUAUGUUUGUAAUUCUUCACUACAUGACAUUUCAUCAAGUAUUUCGUUUGAUCCACAAUGGGUUUUUUUGCACUGUAGAUGUAUAUCGCGUUGAAUAUCGACAAUGCCCACUGGAUGACCGUGGUCAUGCACUUGAUCAAGCAAGAAUUCCAAGUUCUCGAUUCGCUCUAUCCUCUGGAACUGACAGAAAAGACUGUGAAAGCACUGGUAUUAUAACCAACAUUUGUAGCAUUGGUCUUACAUGUUGUUUAUUAUUCAUCUUUAACACUAUCCUCUUUAUAGCGAAUGGCUAUAGCAAACAAUAUGCACCAAGCAAAUCUUAUUACACCAGGGAAAUAUCUGGACGUAAGUAAGUGGUCUAUCAAGGAGUAUGACAUGCCCUAGCAAGAGGAUGGGUGAGUUAAUAGGACAUCAUGCACAUUCAAACAACAAAACACAUGUUCGUAUUGCCCACCGCUAAUGUUUGCAUAUGUACCAGGAACUCUUGUGGCCUUUUUGUCACAGAAUGUCUAGAACAUUGGGACGGGGACCGAAUGACCCACGAUCUUACACAGGUAUGCUGUCAUUUACGUUUGUAGACUAGCUAGUACGGUAGUGUAGCAACUUCGGUUCAUGUAACCUUUAUGUCAUUUUUUGCAGGCCACCAUUGACGCAAGGAGAAGACGUUUCGUCGCCGAGUUGAUUAUGUCACCUUCGAACACGAUGGAGUGUGUGAAGAACAAAAUUCGCGAAAUCACAAGGAAAAGGCGCGCCUGAAGAAUUCAUGCGGCAUGCAAGAUUCAAGUUUUAGUGGUUUGGAUUUAGUCCGGUCGAAGGUUUCGACAGCAUGAUUAUCUUAGGGUUUCUAUCAUUUUUAUGUAAUAAACCGGGCAUCUCGAAUAUUGUGACACAUACAUGUGUAUGUGUCUGUCAGACAAUUCGCUCGUUCUAGACAAUUCGGUCAUACAAUUCGCUCGGAGAAGACAAAUUGGUUGUACUAAUAAAGUUUUGGCCACACUUAUCAAUUGUGCUUGCUUAAUAUUUUUCUCGUUCUCCAAUUUUUUAUAAUUGUAUUUUUCACAUUAAUAGUAUUCACAUUCUAUUUUUAUCUUCAACUGCUCUCGUAAGUUUCAUAUUAAAAUUUUCACAUUCUUCACUUUUUUAAAACUCUACCAAGCUUAGCCUUCUGCCUUAGCUAUCUGCAUGUCAUCAUCUUGCAUAAUCUCCUGGUAAUUCCCCCUCAUCACAUGAUUAUGAAAAGUAGUCAUGUUAUCUAAGUAAAUAUAUCAAGCCAAACGUAAUAUUACACAUAUGAAAAUUAGUCAUCUCAGCUCGUUGGCUCUAUCGCGUGUUAUCAGGCAUCAUGUUUUUCUAUUUUGUUUUACAAACCCGUUGUUUUUUAUUGAAUGUAUAAUUAACUUUUUCUGUACUCACCAUGAUGCCAGGCACGACCCAUCUAACCAUGUGAGGGGCCCCACAGGCGGCCUAUCGUGGUGGCAACGCUACACCAGCCCAUUUUGCCAGGUUCACAUCGAUCUUUCCUCUUUUCUUGUUUCCCUUUCCAAAUCCCUAGACCUCUCUCUCCAUUUGCGCCUCCAAAUCUCGACGGCGAAAGCAUGACAGCGAGCUGGGCAUCGGGCAGCGGCGGCUGUGGCGAGAAGAGCGGUGGCGACCGCAAGUUAGGUCGAACCCUGGGUCCUGGAAGCAGGUGGGGCGGAUUCAGUGGCACAGGAGGCUAAAAGGUAAGUUUUUUGCCGUUGUUCUUUAUAUCCCAGCAUUAUCGCCCACAAUUCAUGACCUGUGGCCAUGACAAGCUCCGUCUAUGUGGUCAUCAGGAAACUCCUGGUGGCCGUGUCUGCAUAGAUGCAGACAAUUUUGGCAUUGCAUUCGUGGGAUGUGUGUUUGACGUUAGUCUACUGACCAUGAUCUUCAAACUAGUACUGCUAUUGCGGUCAAGCUGCAUAAAAGUUUAGUGUUUAACGCUUGCAGUGACAAGUUCAGUUAUAAAUUGACUUGAAUUGCUCAUGAUUUAUUUAGGAUGGUAUCACUUCUGAGUAUGUUGAAUGGGUUGAUGGGGAGUGGGAUAGAAAAGCAAAGUCAGUCAUUAAGUAUCUUGCCAUGAAGAACAAGAAAUUGGAGACUAAGGUUACAGAAUAUGAAGCUGAAAUUAAAAGGAAUGAGAAAGAAAAUAGGGCAAUGGUUAAGAUGCACAAGGAAAUAUUGCUCUAUAGGGAUAGGAUUUUAGGAUUUGGAGGUCUUCCGUAUCUUGGCUUGCUUGCCAUUAUGAUUGUUGUCAUAGUUAGCAAGUAUAUUGUUCAUAAAGUUAUUGACAUCAUUGUAAUUGACAUGAUGAAACGCUGGUGAAUUAUUUGCUAUUCAGUUUAUGAGCAAAUUGUAACAGAGAUUGCAGCAUAAAUAACAUGGGGCCAUCAUGAUUGAUAGGCAAUGCACUUUUGGCAUGUUCUAUAUUUGGCAGACAAUGCACUUUUGGCAUGUUCUAUAUUUGGUAAGUGAUGCACAUGGGCACAUCACCUAGCAACACUACUGAUUUUUGCACAGCCUAGUUCAUUGUCUUGUUGCUACAUAGGAGCAACAUCUAGCAGCACCUACACCUUUGAUGCAACACUGAAGCAAAGCAACAGUACAUAUUCAAUAUUCUGAAAUUUAACUGAACUUGACACUUAGGGUGAGCAGUAGAUAUUCAUUUCUUCAGCCACAAAGAACCCGACCAAACCGUACCGAUUGCAUAACUUAUAUGAUUACAUAUAAAAGCAUACCUAACCAACAUCAAACCCAAAAUAAUGUUAACUUAUAUGCUGAAACAUAUAACAUCAUAUCUAACUUAAGAUAACCAGCAGCUUCCUCCUCCUUCAGCAACUGUGCCCAUCUUCACUUCUUCAGAAAUUUGAGGCGGCGUGAGCGCCGCACCACACACGGAGAAGUCUUCUUCUUGACCGCCUUCCUCUUCGAUAGCUGCGCCACUAGAUCCCGAGCCACGCCAUCUUCUUCCACCUUCAAUAUAUUAGGGAGGAGGGGAAGGAGCUCGAGGUCGAUGGGCAUUGUCUUGCCACCCUCGACGGCGACCGACGCUACCAUUUGCACGGCGUCCUCCUCGCCCUCUUCAUCGUCAUUAGGGAUGACCAGUACCUCGUCCACGUCGUCCUCCAUGAUGUCAGAGCCCACCGGCUGGACUGGCGCUAGUAUGUGGCGGACCUGGUACUCCGGGCUGACGGGCGCUGGGACAGCGAGCUCGACGUCGACGCAUUGCGCCCUCGACACGACGCGUGCUGGAUCUGGCCGCUACGACAUGGUGGUGGAGCGGCACAUCCACCACCUUAUGCGCUGAAUAGGGGAGUCGCUCAGGGUGGCCUCUCGCAUUUCCCAGACGAGGAGGAGAGCCGGUGGGACGCCGCGGCCAUCGGGGAAGGCGCGCUUCUUCUCGCCGUCGGCGAGGACUUUGACGAGGCCACGUGCGUGGUUGACCAACAUCUCCGUGCUGGGGAACCAGCCGCACACCUCCAUCAACUGCACACGCCACGCCUCGUCAUUGCCGGCGAGCUCGAUCAUCGCUUGCUGCCAACCGAGGCUUCUCUCCAUAGAGGUGGAUGCAGCGGUCGCUGGCGAGCGUUUCUCGAUCUACUGUAGGUGGGGAUAAGAUGGGAGUGCGAACCGACGCCCGUGUGAGGUGGUUGAGUGCGUGGUGGGGAGGAGAGUGGUACAGUUACUUAUUUAAUGGCAUUUAGGACGUGGGGAGGGGAAAUGUACAAUAUUCUUUCUACCUCCCGCCCCGUUCAUAACACAGUAAAUAAUUUUUUUGCUUUUUGUUUUGAGGGAAACAUCUUACUUUAUUUAAACAAAGUCUGGGAUCUCAUCUGCUAAUACAUUAAGGAUACAAUCAGGGGGUGAAAGCCUCCAAAGCAAAGAAAACAAUCUCCUACAGCUACCUUAGCCAAAGUAUUAGCCGCCCGAUUAACACAGUAAAUACUUGAAGCAAGUUUCUACUCUUCUUCCUUCUCCACUUCUCUGCACAUGAUAAAAGACAAGAGAAGUUAAUGAUGAAGGAAAUAUACCCUAGAGGCAAUAAUAAAGUUAUUAUUUAUUUCCUUAUAUCAUGAUAAAUAUUUAUUAUUCAUGCUAUAAUUGUAUUAACCGGAAACAUAAUACAUGUGUGAAUACAUAGACAAACAGAGUGUCACUAGUAUGCCUCUACUUGACUAGCUCGUUGAUCAAAGAUGGUUAUGUUUCCUAGCCAUAGACAUGAGUUGUCAUUUGAUUAACGGGAUCACAUCAUUAGGAGAAUUAUGUGAUUGACUUGACCCAUUCCGUUAGCUUAGCACUUGAUUGUUUAGUUUGUUGCUAUUGCUUUCUUCAUGACUUAUACAUGUUCCUAUGACUAUGAGAUUAUGCAACUCCAAUUUACCGGAGGAACACUUUGUGUGCCACAAAACGUCACAAUGUAACUGGGUGAUUAUAAAAGUGCUCUACAGGUGUCUCCGAAGGUACUUGUUGGGUUGGCGUAUUUCGAGACUAGGAUUUGUCACUCCGAUUGUCGAAGAGGUAUCUCUGGGCCCGCUCGGUAAUGCACAUCACUACAAGCCUUGCAAGCAUUGAAACUAAUGAGUUGGUUGCGGGAUGAUGUAUUACGGAUCGAGUAAAGAGACUUGCCAGUAACGAGAUUGAAAUAGGUAUUGAGAUACCGACGAUCGAAUCUCGAGCAAGUAACAUACCGAUGACAAAGGGAACAACGUAUGUUGUUAUGCGGUCUGACCGAUAAAGAUCUUCGUAGAAUAUGUAGGAGCCAAUAUGGGCAUCCAGGUCCCGCUAUUGGUUAUUGACCAGAGAGGUGUCUCAGUCAUGUCUACAUAGUUCUCGAACCCGUAGGGUCCGCACGCUUAACGUUCGUUGAUGAUAUAGUACUAUGAGUUAUGUAUGUUGGUGACCGAAUGUUGUUCGGAGUUUCAGAUGAGAUCACGGAUAUGAUGAGGAACUCAGGAAUGGUCCGGAAGUAAAGAUUGAUAUGUGGAUAGUAGUGUUUGAUCUCCGGAAGGGUUCCGGAAUUCACCGGAAGGGGUUCCGGAUGUUUCCCGAAAUGUUUGGGCACGAGAACACUUUAUCUGGGCCAAAGGGGAAAGCCCACGAGGUUUUUGCAAAGCGCAAAAGGAAGUUUUGUGGAGUCCACGGGCCAGACGCCACGGUCCCUGGCGUCUGGGUCCAGACGCCGGGAACCCUGCCGUCUAGCCCUGGAGUCCGAGAAGGACUCUUGCCUUUCGGGUGAAACCGACUGUGUGGAGGCUUUUACUCCAAGUUUCGACCCCAAGGCUCAACAUAUAAAUAGAGGGGCAGGGCUAGCACCCAAGACACAUCAAGAAAGACCAAGCGGUGUGCGGCUACCCCAUCUCCUCUAGUUUAUCCUCCGUCAUAGUUUUCGUAGUGCUUAGGCGGAGCCCUGCGGAGAUUGAUCUUCACCAACACCGUCACCACACCGUCGUGCUGCCGGAACUCAUCUACUACUUCUCCCCUCUUGCUGGAUCGAGAAGGCGAGGAUGUCACUGAGCCGAACGUGUGCAGAACUCGGAGGUGUUGUGCUUUCGGUACUUGGAUCGGUCAGAUCGUGAAGACGUACGACUACAUCAACCGCGUUGAUAUAACGCUUCCGCGAAUGGUCUACGAGGGUACGUAGACAACACUCUCCCCUCUCGUUGCUAUGCAUCACCAUGAUCCUGCUUGUGUGUAGGAUUUUUUUUGAAAUUACUACGUUCCCCAAAAGUGGCAUCCGAGCCAGGUUUUAUGCGUAGAUGUCAUAUGCACGAGUAGAAUACAAGUGAGUUGUGGAAGAUAUAAGUCAUACUGCUUACCAGCAUGUCAUACUUUGGUUCGGCGGUAUUAUUGGAUGAAGCAGCCCGGACCGACAUUACGCGUACGCUUACGCGAGACUGGUUCUACCGACGUGCUUUGCACACAGGUGGCUGGCGGGUGUCAGUUUCUCCAACUUUAGUUGAACCGAGUGUGGCUACGCCCGGUCCUUGCGAAGGUUAAAACAGCACCAACUUGACGAACUAUCGUUGUGGUUUUGAUGCGUAGGUAAGAACGGUUCUUGCUAAGCCCAGUAGCAGCCACGUAAAACUUGCAACAACAAAGUAGAGGACGUCUAACUUGUUUUUGCAGGGCAUGUUGUGAUGUGAUAUAGUCAAGGCAUGAUGCUAAAUUUUAUUGUAUGAGAUGAUCAUGUUUUGUAACCGAGUUAUCGGCAACUGGCAGGAACCAUAUGGUUGUCGCUUUAUUGUAUGCAAUGCAAACGCCCUGUAUUGCUUUACUUUAUCACUAAGCGGUAGCGAUAGUCGUAGAAGCAUAAGUUGGCGAGAUGACGACGAUGCUACAAUGGAGAUCAAGGUGUCGCGCCGGUGACGAUGGUGAUCAUGACGGUGCUUCGGAGAUGGAGAUCACAAGCACAAGAUGAUGAUGGCCAUAUCAUAUCACUUAUAUUGAUUGCAUGUGAUGUUUAUCUUUUAUGCAUCUUAUCUUGCUUUGAUUGACGGUAGCAUUAUGAGAUGAUCUCUCACUAAAUUUCAAGAUAAAAGUGUUCUCCCUAAGUAUGCACCGUUGCCAAAGUUCGUCGUGCCCAGACACCACGUGAUGAUCGGGUGUGAUAAGCUCUACGUCCAUCUACAACGGGUGCAAGCCAGUUUUGCACAUGCAGAAUACUUAGGUUAAACUUGGCGAGCCUAGCAUAUGCAGAUAUGGCCUCAGAACACGGAGACCGAAAGGUCGAGCGUGAAUCAUAUAGUAGAUAUGAUCAACAUAGUGAUGUUCACCAUUGAAAGCACUCCAUUUCACGUGAUGAUCGGUUAUGGUUUAGUUGAUAUGGAUCACGUGAUCACUUAGAGGAUUAGAGGGAUGUCUGUCUAAGUGGGAGUUCUUAAGUAAUAUGAUUAAUUGAACUUUAAUUUAUCGUGAACUUAGUCCUAGUAGUAUUAGCAUAUCUAUGUUGUAGAUCAAUAGCUCGCGUUUAGCUCCCCUGUUUUACUUUUGAUAUGUUCCUAGAGAAAACUAAGUUGAAAAAUGUUAGUAGCAAUGAUGCGGAUUGGAUCCGUGAUCUGAGUUUUAUCCACAUUGCUGCACAGAAGAAUUAUGUCCUUGAUGCACCGCUAGGUGACAGACCUAUUGCAGGAGCAGAUGCAGACGUUAUGAACGUUUGGCUAGCUCAGUAUGAUGACUACUUGAUAGUUUAGUGCACCAGGCUUAACGGCUUAGAAUCGGUACUUCAAAGACGUUUUGAACGUCAUGGACCAUAUGAGAUGUUCCAGGAGUUGAAGUCAAUAUUUCAAGAAAAUACGCGAGUUGGGAGAUAUGAAGUCUCCAACAAGUUCUAUAGCUAAAAAUGGAGGAGAAUAGCUCAAGCAGUGAGCAUGUGCUCAGAUUGUCUGGGUAGUACAAUCGCUUGAAUCAAGUGGGAGUUAAUCUUCCAGAUAAAAUAGUGAUUGACAGGAUUCUCUAGUCACUAUCACCAAGUUACUAGAACUUUGUGAUGAACUAUAAUAUGCAAGGGAUGAAGAAAAAUAAUUCCCGAGCUCUUCGUGAUGCUGAAAUCGACGAAGGUAGAAAUCAAGAAAGAGCAUCAAGUGUUGAUGGUUAACAAGACCACUAGUUUCAAGAAAAGGGAAAAGGGAAGAAAGGGAACUUCAAAAAGAACGGCAAGCAAGUUGCUUCUCAAGUGAAGAAGCCCAAGUCUGGACAUAAGCCUGAGACUAAGUGCUUCUACUGCAAAGGGACUGGUCACUACAAGCGGAAACACCCCAAGUAUUUGGCGGAUAAGAAGGAUGGCAAAGUGAACAAGCUAUAUUUGAUAUAUAUGUUAUUGAUGUGUACCUUACUAGUGUUUAUAGUAGACCCUGGGUAUUUGAUACUUGUUUGGUUGCUAAAAAUUAGUAACUCAAAACAAGAGUUACCGAAUGAACAGAGACUAGUUAAGUGUGAAGUGACGAUGUGUGUUGGAAUUGGUUCCAAGAUUGAUAUGAUCAUCAUCGCACACUCCCUAUACUUUCGGGAUUAGUGUUGAACCUAAAUAAGUGUUAUUUUGUGUUUGCGUUGAGCAUAAAUAUGAUUUGAUCAUGUUUAUUGGAAUACGGUUAUUCAUGUAAGUUAGAGAAUAAUUGUUGUUCUGUUUACAUGAAUAAAACCUUCUAUGGUCAUACACACAAUGAAAAUGGUUUGUUGGAUCUCGAUCGUGGUGAUACACAUAUUCAUAAUAUUGAAGCCAAAAAGAUGCAGAGUUAAUAAUGAUAGUGCAACUUAUUUAUGGCACUGCCGUUUAGGUCAUAUUAGUGUAAAACGCAUGAAGAAAUUCCAUGCCGAUGGGCUUUUGGAAUCACUUGAUUAUAAAUCAUUUUGAUGCCGGCGAACCAUGCCUCAUGGGCAAAGAUGACUAAGACUCCGUUCUAUAGAACAAUGGAGCGAGCAACUGACUUAUUGGAUAUAAUACAUACUGAUGUGUGAGGUCCGAUGAGUGUUGAGGCUCACGGCGGGUAUCGUUAUUUUUAUGACCUUCGCAUAUGAUUUGAGCAGAUAUGGGUAUAUCUACUUGAAGAAACGUAAGUCUGAAACAUUUGAAAAGUUCAAAGAAUUUCAGAGUGAAGUGGAAAAUCAUCGUAACAAGGAAAUAAAGUUUCUACGAUCUGAUCGCAGAGGCGAAUAUUUGAGUUACGAGUUUGGCCUUCAAUUAAAACAAUAUUUGAGGUACUUGUUGGGUUGGCGUAUUUCGAGACUAGGAUUUGUCACUCCUAUUGUCGGAGAGGUAUCUCUAGGCCCACUCGGUAAUGCACAUCACUAUAAGCCUUGCAAGCAUUGCAACUAAUGAGUUAGUUGCAGGAUGAUGUAUUACGGAACGAGUAAAGAGACUUGCCAGUAACGAGAUUGAAAUAGGUAUUGAGAUACCGACGAUCGAAUCUCGAGCAAGUAACGUACCGAUGACAAAGGGAACAAUGUAUGUUGUUAUGCGGUCUGACCGAUAAAGAUCUUCAUAGAAUAUGUAGGAGCCAAUAUGGGCAUCCAGGUCCCGCUAUUGGUUAUUGACCAGAGAGGUGUCUCGGUCAUGUCUACAUAGUUCUCGAACCCGUAGGGUCCGCGCGCUUAACGUUCGUUGACGAUAUAGUACUAUGAGUUAUGUAUGUUGGUGACUGAAUGUUGUUCGGAGUUUCGGAUGAGAUCACGGAUACGAAGAGGAACUCCGAAAUGGUCCGGAAGUAAAGAUUGAUAUGUGGAUAGUAGUGUUUGAUCUCCGGAAGGGUUCCGGAAUUCACCGGAAGGGGUUUCGGAUGUUUCCCGAAAUGUUUGGGCACGAGAACACUUUAUCUGGGCCAAAGGGGAAAGCCCACGAGGUUUUUGGAAAGCGCAAAAGGAAGUUUUGCGGAGUCCAGGGGCCAGACACCACUCUGCCCUGUCGUUGCUAUGCAUCACCAUGAUCCUGCGUGUGCGUAGGAUUUUUUUGAAAUUACUACGUUCCCCCACAAAUGAAUGAUAAAAAUUUAAUAAUCCACAAUGCAUAUAAACACUUACUUCUGAUUUAGUUUGCAUUUCUUGCUACGUCUAGUGUGUCCUAGCAAUUUACAAGCACCGCACCGGGUUUUCAACUCAUCAAAAGAGAGUGGUCUACCAUUUUUUGAGACAGGGCGGCUCUCAUCUACCUUUGUUGCACCUUUGCUUGACACUUUCAUAGGAUCUUUAACCGCAAUCAUGUUGCCUUCACCAUCGUUCACAUAUUCAACUGCACACUUACUGAUGUCAUUUGUUUGCUUGAUCAAAUUUUCCUGUAGCAGAUCAUACUCAUGACUCUUAGCUAUCACAGCCUUCAAACUAUCCUGUAACUGAUCCCACAAAGCAGGGUGUUUGCAUGUGGCAUGCAUAGAUUCUGACGCUAACAAACUGACCUGGCUAUAUUUCAUUCUUUCCAUGGCCCCAGUCCAACCUAAUCCCAACAGAUCGCUUGUGCGCCUCGCGGGCAGUCCCAACCUUGCUUCUUUUGUGAACCGAACAGAACUAAACACUUUGGUAUUUCAGAUAUGUUCAAGUGCUUCAGUACAUGGGAUAUGUGCUUGCAAGGUAGACCCUUUCGAAUCAUUCUUCUGUAGCUGCACCUUAUAGUUUCUGCGGAAUUUUCUGGUGUAUACUCCACCCAAAAACGACGCUUCCGGUUAUUCUUCCAGGCCACGAUGUACUGCUGUGAUCCGUCUCCCAGCUUAAUUUCUACAAUCUCCAUGCCGCCAACUUUUCUAAGAUCAUCUUGCAACAUAUAGAAGUUUGCUGGAGUGAAGACAUGUGAAGCAGCUAUCUCAAGUUCCCUCGAGCUAGUAAUUGGCACCGAUAAACUCUGUGAGGCCGUGCAGUCAUCUGACGCCUCGUUUUCACGGAUACGCACAACGGCGUUCUCAUAGUGAAAAAUCAUAUCCACCAGGGUCAUUUAACCGUCUAGGUGGAGGUGAAGGCAUGAGUUCAGGCUUUCACUCCGCUGGUUGCUUUUCAUGCCAAACCAAAACGCCUCUGUUAGAUAAGCGCCCACAGUCUCCUCUUCUUAUACGUCCGUAUCAACCAUGUUAUAGUUUUUUCGGACUGCCAUCUUUUGGAAAAUGUGUGCCAUCUCUCCUCAAACGUGGUCGUGGACGUGUUGUAGUACAGAAGAGUUCAGAAUUCCUUCAAGGACUUGUGACUGUGUUGAAUCUUCAUAUUUUUUUUCUAUAUGCCACGUACAUAUACGGUGCCACACUUCUGGCAAGACUUGGCGAAUUGCCUUGAUCAUCGCAGCAUCGGCGUCUGUGAUAACACUCUUAGGCAUCUUUUGACACAUGGACCUCAAAAACGUCUGCAGAAGCCACACGUAUGUCUCCUCGGUCUCUUCCGAAACUAUGGCACAACCAAAAACAGUGGUCUUCCGGUGAUUGUUAAGACCAACAAAGGGUAUGAAUGGCAUACCAUAGUGGUUCAUCUUGUACGUGCUGUCAAAUACAAGCACGUCGCCAAAGUCCUCAUAGUCAUGACGAGACUGGGAGUCGCACCAGAACAUCCUAUUGAAAUGUCCUUCCUUAUCUAGCUUGUACUCGAAAAAGAAGCUAGGAUCCCUCUGUUUCCCACUGGCCAUGAUGCCUAUGGCUGUGGCAGCAUCACCUUUUGAAAGCAUCUUCCUCUUCUCCCUGGCGCAAAGGUUGUAUAUUUCACGCGUGGUAAAACCAACACCGCCGUACCAUACAUGUUUGCUGAUGAAGCAAUCCAUCAUGUCGUGAAUUCUAAUCCCUGCAGCUCCCAUGGACAUUAUCUCAUGCUUCUGGUACUCUUUGAUUUUUUCUGUGGCACCAAAGGAAAGGUACCUCGUCUGGUCCUGCCAACAUAUGGCUAUGCUUGUCCUCAAAACUUUCAACAUACCAAACCCCACGCUUUUGGUCAAGAUUGACGGUCAGGUGCGCUUCGCAAAAGCAGCGUGUCUCGGCUCUGAGCCUACGGGUGUGUCCUUCUGUUAAACAUGUAAACGUGACAUAGUAUGUCACGCAUCUCUCUCUCUCUCUUGUAGUCCAAGUAUUAUUCCUAGUUUAGACAGAGUUUGGUUAGGUUUAAUUAUCUAUCUCUUCUUCUGUCUUCUCCUAAACCGACUCUGUAGACCCACAAGAGGGAUUCUCUCAUACGAUCACAGCACGCGGGCUCUCCUCGGAGGGUUGAGACGCUUCAUCUAGUUUUACAUGGUAUAUAGAGCCCUUCCCUUCCAUCACGUCUAGAACCCUCCAUCAACCUUCUGCCAUGGCGUCCUCCAGCUCCACAUCAAGUUUCUCCGUCAAUUCUCAAGUCUUAGAAAAACUUACCAGAACAAAUUUCAUCCUAUGGCGUGCUCAAGUGCUAUCAUAGAUCCGAGCUGCGGGCAUGUAUGGCUACUUAGACAAAUCCUCUCCUGAACCUCCUAAAACAAUCACCACCAAGGAUUCUGCAGACAAGGAUCAAAUCAUCGUCAACCCCGAGUACACGGUCUGGGAAAGGGAGGACCAGCAGGUGCUCGCCUACCUGCUCAAUAACCUCUCCAAAGAGGUGUUGAUUCAGGUUGCUUUGCAUGAGAGGUCACAUGCGAUCUGGACAUCCUUGACCAGCAUGUUUGCUUCUACGUCAAGGUCCCGCAUCAACAACCUUCGUCUCAAUCUGACGAACGCACAUAAAGGUAAUCAAUCUGCUGGCGCCUACUUUGGUCAUAUGAGGUCUCUUGCAGACGAACUCGCCAUGGCUGGAGAACCCAUCACCGAUGGGCAACUACUCUCCUUCAUCACUGUCGGCCUGGAUAUGGACUAUCAGCCUAUCAUCUUGGCGCUGGACGUCCGCGCCGAGCCACCCAGCGUCGACGAUCUCUUCUCUAUGGUGAGCAACUUCGAUCAAAGGGUGGAGCUCUUCCACAACUCAGGCGCAGGGGGCUUCAAGUCCUCUGCAAAUAUGGCCGGGAGCGGUCGUGGUGGUGGCGGUUUCUCCAAGGGACGCCCACGCAAGGACAGCAGUGGCGGCGGCAGUGCCUACCCUGGCCAGGGCAGCAGCGGCCACCCUGGGCAAGGCAGCAAUGGUUUCCGCGGCCCCAACAGUGGCUAUGGCGGCGGCCACUACAGUGGCGGACAAUCCAAUGGCUAUGGCUACGGUGGUGGUCAUCCUUCACAGGGAGUCAAUGGCUACCGUGGCCAGAAUGCCGGCUAUGGUGGCGGCUCAAAUGGCGGCUACAACAACAACUCCAAUGGCGGCUACAACAACAACCACCAAAACCGUGGUCACUAUGAUGGUGGCUCCUCAUGGUAUGAUGGUGUUUGUCAAAUUUGCAAAAAAACCAUACCAUAUUGCAAAAGAUUGCAAGUGGCGCUAUGUAGAGGAUAACUCCAGGAAGAAGAAGGUAGCAGCUGUCGUCGACACUUCCUAUGGAGUUGAUACAAACUGGUACGCUGACACGGGUGCCACUGAUCACAUAACUGGUGAACUCGAGAAUAUCACCAUGCAUGAGAGGUACCAUGGCCAUGAGCAAGUCCACAACGCCGAUGGUGCGGGUAUGGAGAUUAGUCAUGUUGGUCAUUCAGUUAUUAAAACCCCACACAAAGAUAUUCAUCUCAAUAAUGUUUUCCAUGUUCCUAGUACUUCCAAAAGUCUUCUUUCUGUCCAUCGCAUUGCUCUUGACAAUCAUGUGUUUUUCUAGAAUUUCACCCCUUCAUCUUUUUGAUCAAGGAUCAGGUCACGAAGAGAAUAAUUUAUCGAGGUAGAUGCGUGGAUGGACUCUACCCGUUGAUUCCCAAGUUUAGGAGACUCAAUAAACAAGUGCUUGGUGUCAUCAAACUUUCCUUGGAUAGAUGGCAUCAUCGUUUAGGCCACCCUGCUUUUUCUAUUGUUCAUCAAGUUCUUAGCAAAAAUAAGCUCCCAGCUGUCGGUGAGCAUAGUUUAGAAACUAUUUGUGAUUCAUGUCAGAGAGCUAAAAGUCAUCAAUUACCUUAUCCAGUUUCCACUAGUGUUUCUGUUAAACCUUUGCAACUCAUCUUUUCUGAUGUGGGGGGUCCAGCUCCCUCCUCUGUUGGGAGGCACACCUAUUAUGUUAGUUUUGUUGAUGACUAUAGCAAAUAUACUUGGAUUUAUCUUCUUAAGAAACGGUCUGAUGUGUUUCAAGUCUUUCACAAUUUUCAAGCACUUGUUGAACGUCAGUUUAAUAUCAAAAUUCUUGCUGUCCAAUCUGAUUGGGGUAGUGAAUAUGAAAAACUCAAUUCAUUUUUCCAACAAAUAGGAAUUUCACAUCAUGUCUCUUGUCCACAUGCUCAUCAACAGAAUGGUUUCGCGGAACGAAAACAUAGACACAUUGUUGAAGUAGGACUCGCUUUGCUUGCAGCCGCAUCUAUGCCACUCAAAUUUUGGGAUGAAGCCUUUCUUACUACCGUUCAUCUUAUCAACAUCUUGCCUAGUCGUGUCAUUAACAAUGAAACUCCUACUGAACGCCUUUUGCAUGUCAAACCUGUCUACACAUCACUUCGUGUCUUUGGUUGUGCUUGUUGGCCUAAUCUUCGUCCCUACAACCCACGCAAACUUAUGUCCCGUUCUACGCAGUGUGUGUUUCUUGGCUACAGUGCAAAACAUAAAGGAGUUAAAUGUCUUGAUGUCUCAAGUGGUCGGGUUUACAUCUCUCAUGAUGUUGUUUUCGAUGAAACCCAAUUUCCCUUUGCAAAACUUCAUCCUAAUGCUGGCAACCUACUUCGCAAAGAAAUUCUUUUGCUUCCUUCACAUCUUUCCGGUAUUUCUUGUGAGGGUGAUAAUAGAUGCAAUGAUUCAACUUUGUCUAAUUAUUCUAACCCAAUGGCUGAGUGUGAUGUUGCAGAAAACAGGGGAGAAAACAGUGCUGAAAACAGUGUUAAAUUGGUGCCAAAAGAUCAUUAUUUUAUGCGUCCACAUCCACCCGAACCACACCUGGAUGAACCCGUCCCGGGAUCCGCGAUGUCAGCAGGGUCAGGCGGAUCUGCCGCGGGAUCCGCGGUGGCAGACGGGCCAGGCGGACCAGCUAUGCCAGGGAUAUUUUCCCCGAUCUCCAUGCCACAACAUGACAGGGCGAUCGCCCCAUCCCUGCACCAGACAGGAGGGCCCAUGAGCCAUGUGGCAUCACCCGCGCCACAUGCCCGACCCGACAGCUCGGUCAGAUGCGACCCGGCUGUCGGCCGAAGCCCGUCCGCGCGUGCGUCCUCUGGCGCGGGAUGUGGAACUCCCGAUGCAUUUGGAUCUUCUGCGCCUUCUCCAACAGCGCCAGGAUUCCCUACAGUUCUACCUGGAUUUUCUGCGGCUCCUCUUGGGUCUAUUGCACCAUCCUCUCCUAUUGCUGCAGCUACACCACCGCGGACGCGCCUUCAGAGGGGAGUAACCAAUCGCAUCGAUUACAAAAAUAUUGCUAAGUUUGGUCUAGCAUGCUUAUCAGGUGAACCUCGUAUUGUACAUGAGGCUUUUGGUGAUUCCCGUUGGAAAUAGGCAAUGGAAGAGGAAUUUUCAGCUCUCCAGAAAAAUAAGACGUGGCAUUUGGUUCCUCGACAAGCAGGUAAAAAUCUGAUUGACUGCAAAUGGGUCUAUAGGACUAAAAGAAAAUCAGAUGGUACCAUUGAUCGUUAUAAAGCAAGACUAGUGGCAAAGGGUUUUAAGCAACGCUAUGGCAUUGGUUAUGAGGAUACUUUUAGUCCCGUUGUCAAAGAUGCUUCUAUUCGUCUUGUGUUAUCCACUGUUGUUUGCAGGGGAUGGAGUCUUAGACAGCUAGAUGUGCAGAAUACGUUUCUUCAUGGUGUUCUGGAAGAGGAAGUGUAUAUGAAACAACCUCCUGGGUUUGAGGAUAAAAAUGCACCUUUUCAUGUUUGUAAGCUUGAUAAGGCCUUGUAUGGAUUGAAGCAAGCUCCCAGAGCAUGGUACUCUUGUCUCAGUACAAAGCUGCAACAACUUGGGUUUGUUCCAUCAAAGUCUGACACCUCUCUGUUUAUUUACAACAAGUUCAAGACAUCUAACUUUGUUCUCAUAUAUGUUGAUGAUAUUAUUGUUACUAGUUCCUCUAAUGAGGCGAUAACUGGAUUACUAAGAGAUUUGAGUUCAUAGUUUGCUCUAAAAGAUCUAGGAGAUUUGCAUUUCUUUUUAGGAAUUGAAGUUAAGAAAACUAUGGAUGGCAUUCAGCUCUCACAGGAAAAAUAUGCAAAUGAUCUGUUGAGCAGAGUUGGUAUGAAAGAUUGCAAGCCUUCACCAACACCUUUGUCUAGCUCAGAAUCAUUAACUCUGACUCAAGGAGAACUCCUGAAUCAAGAAGAUAGUACCAGUUACGGAAGCAUUGUUGGCGCUCUUGAGUAUUUGACGCUUACCCGACCAGACAUAUCCUUUGCAGUAAACAAAGUCUGUCAGUUCUUGCAUGCACCCAACACUGUACAUUGGACAGCCACAAAGCGUAUUCUAAGGUAUGUGAAGAAUACAAUAAGUCUUGGUUUGACUUUCAGAAAAUCUUUGUCUACUCGUAUUAGUGCCUUCUCCGAUGCGGAUUGGGCUGGUUGUUUUGAUGAUAGAAGAUCAACUUGUGGGUUUGCUAUGUUCUAUGGACCGAACUUAGUUUCAUGGUGUGCAAAGAAACAAGCAACUGUUUCCAGGUCGAGUACUGAAGCAGAAUAUAAAGCGUUAGCAAAUGUAACGUCUAAAGUUAUUUGGGUACAGUCUAUGUUGAAAGAACUCGGAGUUGCACAAGAUCAGCCUCCAUGUCUCUAGUGUGAUAAUCUCGGUGCAACAUACUUGUCUGCUAAUCCAGUGUUUCAUGCCAGGACUAAACACAUUGAAAUAGACUUUCACUUUGUCAGAGAACGUGUUGCAAAUAAACAGUUACUGAUCAGAUUCAUUCCCUCCAAGGACCAGCUUGCAUAUGGAUUUACAAAAGCAUUGCCAACUAGAAGCUUCGAAGAGUUCAAGCAUAAUCUCAACUUGCGCAGUUGUGAUUAAGGGAGGGUGUUAAACAUGUAAACGUGACAUAGUAUGUCACACAUCUCUCUCUCUCUCUCUUGUAGUCCAAGUAUUAUUCCUAGUUUAGAUAGAGUUUGGUUAGGUUUAAUUAUCUAUCUCUUCUUCUGUCUUCUCCUAAACCGACUCUAUAAACCCACGAGAGGGAUUCUCUCGUACGAUCAAUAUAUACAUCAUGCGGGCUCUUCUCGGAGGGUUGAGACGCUUCAUCUAGUUUUACACCUUCCUCGGUUAGCAACUUGCUGUCACGUUUCCCUUGUCUGGAACAAAUAAACUGCCUAUAGCGCAUAUGAUGUGACUCGGCUUUGCUAUACCCGACCUUAUUCUUUCUAAUGCUGAAACCAUUAUCUCUAGCAUAGCUGUUGUAGAAAUCAUACGCAGCAUCGUGAGACAUAAAGGUCAUUUCCAUUAUCUGCAUGAACAUAUCCCUCUUAUCAUCUGCACUGGCAGUAUCUUGUACAUUCUUUGCCCCAUCAUCUUGUGUCACCUACACAAUCAAACCACAGCCAUGAAAACAGUUUUCUAUGGUUUAACAUUACUUUCAUAGAACAUUGAUUACACACAUACCUCACUCAUGAUGAACGACGACUGGGACUCCCCAGAAUCAGGUGCAUCUAAUGAUUCAUCGUUAAGGCAUGUCUCCGUGUCGGAUUCACCGUAAUAGUCGUACGCAUUAUGACAUUCGGAAAUAAACUGAAAAAUACAACACAAAUAAAUAAUUACUUAUCAUAUAAUAUUCCAAAAGAAAUUCAAUUUGCAUGCCAAAUUUUUUUCACUUCCGUACCUGACUAAUGUAAUCUUCAUUCCAGAGUUCCAAGUUGUUUUCCUGAUCAUCAUGAAGCUCAUCGAUCUAUAAAUUUUCAACACAAAGAUUUAAUGUUGUUGGAUGCUAACAAAAAAUUACAACAUGACAAUGCCACUCACAUUAAGAUCGUCUCAUUCGUUCCCAUUCUCUGACCGAUCUUCACGAUCUGAAUUUUCAUCAUCUGACCAAUCUUCUAUCCAGUCUUUCAUCAGUUCUCCAAACUCCAUGUCUACCAUGAUAUCAGUUAACUCCUCGUCCGCCAUUUCCUACAACCAAUAAUAUGUAUCAUCACAUGUGCAAACAUUAUCAAUGAUGAAAUAUACAACACAUAGCACACUAUCACGGAUGUUAUGUAAACAACCCCAACCGAGGCCGUUCAGAUCUGCCAAAACUAGUAAGGAAGAUGGCCACGACACCCGUCGUGAUCACUUUCAAUCGCGAGGAACUGCACGAUCUCAAAACCAAGCUAGAUCUACGAUUAUACUACUAGGAAAAGGCCUACUAGUGGCGCACCAGUUUUGCCUACUAAUGGUGCACUACUGGUGCGCCACGAGUACCACGCCACUAGUAUUUUUUACUAAUGGCGCACCAGUGGUGCGCCAUUAGUAUCUGGUAUACUAAUGGCGCAUCACUGGUGCGCCAUUAGUAUAGGCCACGGUGCGCCAUUAGUAUAGGCCACUGGUGCGCCAUUAGUAUAGACCACGAUGCGCCAUUAGUAUUUUUGAAUUUUGAGGGCGGGAAAAUAGUAGUGGCGCACCAUCUAACCCCCACCGUGCGCCAUUGCUAUUUUUGAAUUUUGGAUCUGGAUCGCGAUUUUUUUGCUCAUUUUUUGCUCAUUUUUUUUGCUCGUUUUUUUGCACGAUAUUAUUUCAAAUUUUGUUCCCGUUUUUGGAUCUUGUACGUUCUUUUGCCGUGUUCUUUUGCUGGAGAGGAGUUCUCCGGAGAGGAGGAGGAGGAGGUGACCGGAGAGGCGCUCGCCUACAUCGCCGGAGAGGAGGAGGAGGUCACCGGAGAGGAGUUCAUCGGAGCAUCGGAGAGGAGGAAGGAGAAACCAUGAGGGGAUGGGAGGAGAGGAGGGAGGAGGAGCUCACCGGAGAGGAGGGAGGAGGAGCUCACCGGAGAUGAGGGAGGAGGAGCUCACCGGAGAGGAGGGAGGAGAAACUGUGAGGGGAGGGGAGGGGAGGAGAGGAGGGAGGAGGAGGUUGCCNNNNNNNNNNNNNNNNNNNNNNNNNNNNNNNNNNNNNNNNNNNNNNNNNNNNNNNNNNNNNNNNNNNNNNNNNNNNNNNNNNNNNNNNNNNNNNNNNNNNNNNNNNNNNNNNNNNNNNNNNNNNNNNNNNNNNNNNNNNNNNNNNNNNNNNNNNNNNNNNNNNNNNNNNNNNNNNNNNNNNNNNNNNNNNNNNNNNNNNNNGGAGGAGGAGGAGGUCGCCGGAGAGGAGGAGGAGGAGGUCGCCGGAGAGGAGGAGGGUAGUAUGGUGGAGGAGAGAAUGGAAGAUGGAGUGGAGGAGAGGAGGAGAUGGAGUGGAGGAGAGGUGGAGUGGAGGAGAAGAAUGAAGAGGUAAGGAGGAGAGGACACGCCCAGCCAUAUAUACGGCAUAGUAAUGGCGCACCGUGGGCAGGUGCGCCAUUACUAUUUUUUUUAUUUUUUUAUUUAUUUUGAAUUUUGAAGGUGGGAAGAUAGUAAUGGCGCACCAUGGACAGGUGCACCAUUAGUAAGUUUGAAUUUUUUUUGAAUUUUUUUGCCUCUCCAGAUCUUAAAAGCCCCGUAUCUUUUUUUCUGUUAGGUUUUUGACGAUUUUGAAAAAUUUUAAACAGGAGUGCAUUCGGGGGAAUGUUUGGGCCAAAUUAGUAAUGGCGCACCGUGCGAUGGUGCGCCAUUACUAGUUCAACUAGUAAUGGCGCACCACUCCCACGGUGCGCCAUUAGUAGUUUAAAAANNNNNNNNNNNNNNNNNNNNNNNNNNNNNNNNNNNNNNNNNNNNNNNNNNNNNNNNNNNNNNNNNNNNNNNNNNNNNNNNNNNNNNNNNNNNNNNNNNNNNNNNNNNNNNNNNNNNNNNNNNNNNNNNNNNNNNNNNNNNNNNNNNNNNNNNNNNNNNNNNNNNNNNNNNNNNNNNNNNNNNNNNNNNNNNNNNNNNNNNNNNNNNNNNNNNNNNNNNNNNNNNNNNNNNNNNNNNNNNNNNNNNNNNNNNNNNNNNNNNNNNNNNNNNNNNNNNNNNNNNNNNNNNNNNNNNNNNNNNNNNNNNNNNNNNNNNNNNNNNNNNNNNNNNNNNNNNNNNNNNNNNNNNNNNNNNNNNNNNNNNNNNNNNNNNNNNNNNNNNNNNNNNNNNNNNNNNNNNNNNNNNNNNNNNNNNNNNNNNNNNNNNNNNNNNNNNNNNNNNNNNNNNNNNNNNNNNNNNNNNNNNNNNNNNNNNNNNNNNNNUAAAAAAUAAAAAUAAAAAAAAUUGAAUUUUUUUGAAACAUAAUUACUAAUGGCGCACCGUGGGAGUGGUGCGCCAUUACUAGUUGAAGUAGUAAAGGCGCACCAUCCCACGGUGCGCCAUUAGUAGUUUUGAAAAAAUUAAAAAAAAUGACUAAUGGCGUACCGUGGGUGUGGUGCGCCAUUAGUAUUUGCACACUAAUGGCGCACCAACACAUGGUGCACCAUUAGUAUUUAGUAAUGGCGCAUCACAUGUACAGUGCGCCAUUAGUGUCCAUAUUGGCUAUAGCUAUUUUUGUAGUAGUAUACCUCUGCCGUCGGAUACCUAGGUUAGCCACCACAUCAAAUAAUGAUACCGGUGGUGCGCACAGCCGACGGCAACCGACACUACGUGAACCCAGAUCACGAGGAGCAGCACUACCGGAACAAGAUCCACGAUCGCAUGCGCCGCCGGGUAGCUAGGUUACCCGCCCCGCUAGGUUAACCACUACCACUGGUGGCGGCAGUUCGUUCGAUGUUGCCGCGAGCGAGACUAGAGGCAGGGGCGGGCCCACCUCAAUUCAAGGGUAUUCAGUUGAAUACCCAUUAAUUUUGCCAAAAAACUAGAUAUAUAUAAUGUAUAUACUGUGUAUAUAUAAGGAAAAACGAAACUGUAUAGUCAAACUUGCUAGUUAAGUAUUUCAGCGCAAAACUCCACGACUCCGCGACUUGGCCCAUUGGCCCAAGUGGCUGUAGCGCGCGCACGCAUGCAGACCAUGGAUCUGUCGACCAUCGGCCCUCAAAAGAAAUCUAUCGAUCAGGUCAGACGGAGACGAACCGACACCUUUGCCCUGUUCUCUCCCCACGCGAGCGGCGAGCCGCCAGGAGGCCAUGGCGGUUGCCAUCGCCUGCUCGGCGAUUGGACGUGUGAACGGCGGCCCGGACGGCGCGACGAAUUCAUCCCCCGCUUACCCUGGUUCUGAUCCAGCAGCGGGAAGCAGCCAGCAGGCAUUGGUUCAGUUUCAAAGGCACAACCCACAGAUUCAGGUAUAAUUGCUAAUUGGAUAUAUUAAUCCUUCACUUCUGAAAUUGGGAGCUCUCUUCUCAUGCAAAUUCUUAUUUCUUACUCCAACUGAAUAAUAUAUCGCUGCAGGCAGGAGCAGAAUUUUCUUCUCGUUAAGGAGGAUGCACUACAGUACAUACAAACAAAAGUAAGUUAGUUUGAGCACUUCUCUGCCUAUAUAAUUAUAGUGAUAUUAGAACUUGUUUGCAGUCGAUUGUGGAUUAUUUAGACAUGAGAAUUUGCAAUCUCCCAUUUAAAUUUGUAAUGUGAAAAUGUUUAUAAAUUUUGAUUUUGCUACAGUGAACAUUAUCUAAAGAAUAGUACUCCUGUGAUUUGUAAGGUUUCUUAUCCUUUUCUAUUUUCUAUUCUCUAUAUAUCUUAGAUUUUGCCACAAUAUGUUGAACAAUUACUUUUACAUGUUGAACAAUGCAAGUUAUGAUCAAUUUUGAUGAAUAUAAAACAUUAUGAAAUAUCUUUUAUAUAGUUUACAACUAGUACAAUAUACUACUAUAAUCGGUUAUACACGCCAAAAGGAAGGCUAUAGGCUUCCCAAAAGAAAUUCAAAAUUUGAAUACACAGUCUUCAAUUCCUGGGCCCGCCCCUGACUAGAGGGGGGACGCGGGAUGCGGUACCUGUGCGUGCUCGUUGGGAUUCACGACGUUGCCGCGCCCGCUGUCCGACGAGAUCGCCGGCGACGAGAUAGCCGCCGUUGAAGAUCUACUACGUGACUUAUGGAGCUGCGUCAAUGCUCGCGAGAUUGAUGAAGCCGCGUGAAUGAUUGGAUUCGACAGGUCUUACGUGGACGUGGGGUCGUGUGAUGUUUAUUUUUCGUACCAUAGUACUAUACGUAUACGGUCUGGGUUAUAUAGGGCUAGACAGGGCUUGAAUCUGGGCUACGACGGGCCAGGAAAAAACAAACUCGCGGGAACAAAAAUACCCCUCCGAAGCACCGGAGCAGGCCUCGUCUUAUACAUUGCCCUCUCUGAUUCGGUUUGCCUCACGGAGCGGUGUUCUUCUUUCUUGGUGGAUAGGUCGUGGUGGUGGUGAUUCUUGCCGAAGUGGUGCCCGCCGCCGGGGCCGGCCAUUCCUGGCCGGAGUCCCAACUGACGGGAUGCAUUUCAUCUCCCAGCGCCAGUACAAUCUCCCCUCCGCGCGGCAGAGUCGGCGACCGGCGGCCGAGUAUAGCAGCCUCGGCCAGAUUGCUGCACCGAACCCCACCAUAUCAGGGCCUCUGCAUGCACCUCCCGCAAGUCGUCGCUGUUGGCUCCCGCCAGUCGUCGGUGAUAUCUCCUGCGUCGUUGUCCUCGAUGGCAAGGAGCGACGUUACUGUUAAAAUAAAUUCGAGGUAUACCGUUGAUCAUCCGAGGAUCAAGCAAUCACACGAACACGACACCGAGAUUUGUUAACGAGAUUCACCGAUAUAGCUACCUCCCCGGGGCCUGACUAUGGGCGCUUCUCCCCAUGACACCGCUACAAUACCGCACCCGGUCGCCCUGGACACCGGCACAUGCCGCCGGCUUCCCCUGCGUUCCGGUGCUAUUAUGUUGGCAUAGGUUACAUCGUGUGUCUACCCCCGCUAUAUAUGAGAGGCCUAGGAUACAAGUGUCCUAUUAGGACACGACUCCACAUCCUAUGUAAACACAAUACAACUCCUAGUCCAACUGUAACCUACCUUGUACACAAUAUUCGACACAACUCUAACAAACUCCACCUUGACGAAUAUUCUCCACCACAUUGAAUUCGUCCAUGCGUCAAACUUCCAUGUACAUUGGACUUGAGUUAUCCCAUGAGUACCGCUACUACUCCAAAGACUCCAUGCGACUCCACCUGCAACUUGUAGUCCCUUCUUUUCUUGACCACAGUCAACACUCGAGCAAAAUUAAGUUCCUUGUUACUCUAGUUUGUGCUCCAACUUCCAGAGUAUCCAUCCAUGGAAUCACACACUGAUCACUGACCUGCGUGAAAGUGAACAACUCACAUAUUGGGUGUCACACAUAAGAGUUACCUGAACUCAACAUCACCGCUCCUUUCUUGACCGCCUGUCUGAAACUUGAAGGAAUUUCACCAUUGCUUGUAGUCAUCCCGAGUCAAAUUCGCAGUUGUCUCACCACAUGUAUGACCACCAGAGCCCUGGCCCGUCUCCAUGUCCGUGCAUACCGCACGCCUCACCGCUAUUACCGCGUCGAGCCUCCGCUGUCCCGGUCGAGUCUCAAGGAUAACGAAACCCACACCACUCAACCCCACUGCAGAGUACCAUCGGUCAUCGCUGACCAAUGACGAGUUUCACGCUUCCAUCAGACCACUGGGCUCCAGUCCAAACUGCAUGCCACUCGCUUUUUCCCCUUUGCUGAAUAGGCUUCGAUUCCCUGAAUCCCUACACCGUAGCCCCUCAAUCCAGCUCCACCUUCAACAUGACUCCAUGAUAGAUGAUCAGUCCACCCUCACGCCCCGUCGACUUCAAACUCCGUGUGUACAUCACCUUGAAUCAACCCGCGCCAUAGUCUCGUCGAAGCCACACAAGUCCUUAGACCUGCGCCACGUGUUUCCACGCCCCAGAAGUCGGUCACCAUCAGCACCACGCUCCUAUGUCCCUGUCGCCGAUCUCACCACCGUCUUCUGUACCAACCGACUCACGUCGAUCCGUCAGACUGUCUAGUCCAACCAAGCUGAACUUCUCCGACUGCAUGAUAUGCUCGAGGCUCCUAAAUCGUCUUCCGCGAAUUUCCAUCCAUCACAUGAUAAUUCCAUCUUAGCUGUCAUGACUUCCCGCAAUACCUUCAAGCAUCUUUGUUGUGCCAACAAUCUUUCACUUAUGUCUGCCAUAACCCAAGGUUUUCAGUUUCGAUGAACUUCUCCACCUCAAACUUGGUACCCGAUGACGCCAUGGUUCUUCAUACGGCUGACCCUGUGAAAAAUCAUGCGAGCUUCCCACGCAAUGCCCAAGUACACAAUCGUGGGUACUUCUAGUAGCCAACUAGUUGAUCUUCACGUGAAGGCUCAUGUCCAGGCACAACUUCCCAAUGCGUAGCUCUUGCCUUUUCUGCCAAUGCCAUGCUAUUCCAAUGGAUGUGUAUUUCUUGAUGGAUUUUCCUCCGCUCAAAUUGAUCCGUUGUGUGCCUCUGUUCGCAUCAGUCAAGGACUCGGUCCUCUUCUUUUUUAUCCAAAACAAAUCUUGUACGUACGGUUGUUUCCAAUUGCACCACACAUCUCGCUAGAAUCUGCACGUCCCGUGACCGGAGUCCACGCUCAGCUGCCCCUGCGCACGUCCUUCCGCCGCUUGGGCUUGUUCGCCUUGCCACGGGCCACGUACCAAUCUCGCCGACUCCGAGUACUCAACUCGACGUCCACGCGAUCGUGACCUACACCGAUUCUUCCGAUCUCGCCGACGAUAAUUCUUCUGCGAUAUUUUCACUCUAGAUCAACAAUCCACAGCCUUUUUGUAACCUUGCUCUGAUACCACUUGUUAGAAUAAAUUCGAGGCAUACCGUUGAUCAUCCGAGGACCAAGUAAUCACACGAGCACGACACCGAGAUUUGUUAAUGAGGUUCACCGAUAUGGCUACAUCCCCGAGGCCUGACUAUGGGCGCUCCUCCCCAUGACACCGCUACAAUACCGCACCCGGUCGCCUUGGACACCGGCACAUGCCGCCGGCUUCCCCUGCGUUUCGAUGCUAUUAUGUUGGCAUAGGUUACAUCGUGUGUCUACCCCCGCUAUAUAUAAGAGGCCUAGGAUACAAGUGUCCUAUUAGGACACGACUCCACAUCCUAUGUAAACACAAUACAACUCCUAGUCCAACUGUAACCUACCUUGUACACAAUAUUCGACACAACUCUAACAGUUACAAACUCUGCUCGCCCACCGUCCCAUGCCGCGAGGACGGCGUGUUAUAUCGACAGGUUGCAAAGACCGUCGCGGUGCGGUAGGGCAAGCAAGGGGCAUCUGCCAUCGCAUCGAGAACGACGGCGAGGAUUAUCUUCAUUUUCAUAUGGUGUUGGCAAACAAGCAAAAGGAGAUGAGACCAUCGAUCAGGCGACACCGAUGAAGGCGUUCGUGACCAUGUUGGCAACGACAACACUAAGCUUCAUCGAGACGGCGUACGCGUAUGAAGCCGAUAUCACGACCGGGUUCCAUGCCGGUGUUCACAUGAUGACGGGCCAUUCGACGGGCCCUUGGCACGCUUGCGCGGGCCUUCUCGCCUAUCGACUGGCGGUUCCACGUGGAUGUAGCUGCUGCGAAAGGAGGCGCUGCGAGGGAAGGAGCAAAGUUUUAAAUAGCGCGCUAAGCCUCUUAGCGGCGGACCUCUUCUAAAUGCUAUAGCAUGCUAUAGCGGUGCUAUAGCGAGCUAUUUAAAAUAUUUGCUCAUGUGUUUGAACAAAAGAUCCUUGACGCAGGACCUCUUCUAAACGCUAUAGCGUGCUAUAGCGGAGCUAUAGCGGGCUAUUUAAAACCACGGGAAGGAGGUGCUCGACGCACCAGCAACUCCGACGUCGUCGGAUUGGCCAAGAAAUUUCACGCAGGCGUCAAAGCCUUGAUCGUCUACAGCGGGGAAGUCGACCACCUCACUAACGCCGUCAACGCACUCUCGAUUGCCUCGCCAGCCCGAGUGCCGACCUGGACAUCUUCUUGAAGGUGCUCCAGCUCGAUGUGGCCAUGGACGUGGACGGUGCUGUUGUGCCCCCUGGUGCGCGCAUUACGUGGACUAGGGCAGCUACUCCGUCGCUCCCGUGCCCGGCGCCAAGAGGAAGCGUGCGGGGAGCUCCCGCGUCGGCCAGGACGGAGACAGCGACGGCGACGCGGACAGCGAGGGCAAGGGUGUGCUGCCGCAUGGGGACGCGAACCUCCGGUAGCCCUUCUCGCGGUUCUCAGCGGUAACGUGUCGUGCGCGUCCUUGGACGCGGCCGUCGACCUGCAGUCGGUGGCAGUGUACGAGAUCGGCCACCUGCUUGGCCUCUCCCAAUGGGCUUAGCCUUGUACAUAUACGGCGUGAAGGCCGAAAGGAAGAUGGAUCGGAGGCGCAAAAGAGCAAUUUGAUGCAGCAGCAAGUGGCGAGGAAAAACGGAAGACCUGGAGACCCGAGCGCGUUUCCACGCUCAAGGAGCAGAUCAGGUUCCGCUCGGAGCAACCUUGGUUCUUUCAUUCUUUGCAGCUAGACCAUGAAUUCCAUAAGAUAUCCAAGGUGUGUGCCGGCUGCCGACAAGCCGAGCAUGCUGUUCUUACUACCGACUGCUUGCAUGUCUUGGAUUCUGGAAUUUGCUUGCUUUUUGUCUGUUCUUUGCAUGUGUGUGUGUAUGGUGUGUGCGUAGGUUUAAGUAGGUAAUCAGUAGGUUGGUCGGCCGCGCACAAAUUAAGUUAUAUACAAGUUAAAUUAUGUUCGUGCGAGGUAUGGUUUGGUCAAAGACUGCUGCAUGGACGUGGUUGGUUGCAUGGGCCAUGCACGUGUGGUUGUUUUGUUGUUAGGGUUGCUUGCAUGGCCCAUGCGUAUGGCCAUGUAAUUGUUAGGGACACCCCUUGUUGUACACGCGUGGCUGGCAGCAUGAGCCAUGCACGUGGAUGUGCUGUUGUUGAUCGUGUGUGUUUCAUGUUUGGAGAUGAUAGGCCCUAUUGUUUGAGUUGUGUGCAUUUGUUGCUGAUUACUAUUUUUAAAAUUUGAUGCAAUAUUUGCAGGGAAUUUUGAUGUGCCUGCUGAGGAGACCGUUGGUGUGGCCGAUAUUUUCCCUUCGUCCGAUACACCUUCUGCAGAGUGUCUUCACGUUCGAUCAGUGGUUUCGCGCCUGCGGGUUGUUCCACUCCAAACUGUGGGGUCUCCUUACCGGCCAAUUCCAUUAGGUCAGCCCUUCUUUCUUUUGUUUGAAAGUGCUUUAAGCUUUUUGGAAAUUAGUUAUUAGUUUACCUAUUUGUUUUUCUGCUUCUGGUUCUAACUGUUGCCAACGCCGAUUGUCAAAUCUAAAAAUAGCAGUUCUGCUCGAUGUACGAGAAGGUUGAUACGGUCGUAUAGGUCCAGAAGAAAAGAGAGGUUUGUUCUUCUUUUGGGUCCGUUGAGCAGUCUAUUUUAUUUUCGUUAUGCCGAACAAUUCGUUCUUAUGGAUUGAUCUAUUUUACUUGAUGUAGUGUGUGGGGUGGACCUCCCUCUUACGAAGGAUCUUGUUAUAUUCUACUCAGUACGGCCAUAUGUGUUUAUUUCUUUGUUUGUUUUAGACGUCCACCAUGUUUUUGUUUAACUUUCAGUGUUGGUGUUGCAGCUGUUCAGAGGUUAUUGAUAAAAAUUAGGGUUUGAAACUUAGGUAAUUAAUUUCUUCUGCUUAAACCAAGAACAAAUUGGAUCGAUUUUUUGAUAAAUCGAAUUCAGUUAAGAUAAGGGAAAUUCAGAUAGCAAUUUCUGAGCCGUAUGAGGUAGGAAACUCUCAAGUACGGUUCUAUGGGAAGGAACUUCCUAUUCCGACCGAGGAGAAUUAGUACGCAUAUGCGAUGACUUCUCUGAUGUAGUGCCCCUCCGUAUGCAUCUACAGUGCCCAUUUACCGAGGAUCGUAUCAUCAGUUACGCAAGUAGUUGCCCACCUAUGGGAUGACUGGAGCAUUUUGCAAAAGCGCUUUAUCAGUUCAUUAUUGGUCCUAGCCCCACGGGGGGUUACACCAGGAUGAUAUGAUUUCAAGCUCCAAUGCUCCUUACGCCAUAUGUUUCUACAGUAGAGCUACUUCAUGUCGUCGGUUGUGGUAUCUUGUGUGUCUUCGCACUGUACGGAUUUCCGUUGUAAUAGUUUCAUUUCAGUAAACCAUGUUUAGUGAGAAUAAGGGAAUCCUCUCCAGAAUGUAGUACUUUCUCUUUUCCAUCUUAGCAGUACGUCAUAUGUAAGAUACUUAUGAAUGAAAAUUUUCCCCUUCAUUUGCCUACUAAUAUAAAUGGUACGCAUGCAAAAUAUUUCUAUGCAUACAAUACGUCUGUUUCAACGGGUGCGGCGUGCCGCCGCACAGGAUUCGCUAGUAUGAUCUAAACAACAGCCUUGUUAUAUUACCUGAUGAUAUAGGGAUGACUGAAACUUAAAGUCCAUAAAUUAAGAAGUAAUAGGUCACAGGUUGCAGAAGAGGACCACGCUUGAAUUUCCAAACGUUUAUCAAAUGAUCAAAAAGUCCAGUUUGAGACCCUAUCAUCUGCAGCAGGGAAGUAUAGUAACAUCAGGGCAGUAUAGUUAGAAGCAAAAUGCAACUAAGCAAUCAUGAUGGAGAGAAGGUAAAACUAAUACAAACAGAGUACUACAGAGAACUACCAAUAUCACUGAUAAGUACUGAAUCCAACACACACAAAAAUCAACACUCUUAGCUGGAUGCUCCA
rnacentral:lncRNA from 1 species